UUUUUUUGUUUUUGUCCCAGAAGAAGAGUACGUGGAGUCUAGUCUAGGUUGCAUGCGUGCGUGAGUGCUAGCUGCAUGUGCAUGUGUCCUGAGUCGGGUGGAUCCUACUAGAGUGAGAGUCUAGGAGAAGAUCAAGUCAAGAGUUAGGGCGUGAGUUUGUGCAUGGAGACGUGGUGUUAGUGGCAAGAAAGAGAAUAGAGAAAGAAAAGGUCGGGCUGUGAUAGGCAGCCGGCCACCAAAAAUGCAUAUAAGCAACAGCACAGUGGAGUAAACUUCCGACUGAAAUUGAAUCAAGAGCAUUGAGGGCAACAAAUAGAGAUAUUCUUUUCUGAUCUGUGAGAUCAAGGAUAGUGUAUGUGGAGUAACGUAAUUAUUCUUGUAUUACUCACAUUCUUCGUAGGGUAACAGUGCUACUCAUUUUAUGGCCAAUUUUGGUAGGACGCAAGGCCCAACAGCUGUUUGGCUUGGCUCUGCCCGUGAGGAAGUCUUGAGCGGUGUAAUGGUUAACUUUUCCUUAAUACAAGAACAAUUUUGCAAAAAAGGAACCCCACAAAAAAAUUGCAAAAAAGGAAAACAACAGUCUCAACGGGUGGAUCGAUUCAAACUCAUGUACUAUAGUUUGUUACAGCUAGUUGUUUUUGCUACUCCAUUCCUAAAUAUAGGUCUUUGUAGAUAUUCUAAUGCGGACUGGAUACAGAGUAAAAUGAGUGAAUCUACAUUCUAAAAUAUAUCUAUAUACAUCCGAAUGUAGUUCCUAUUGAAAUCUCUAAAUAGACUUAUAUUUAGGAACGGAGGAAGUAGGAUGCUUAGUGAAACAUAGCAUUUAAUUAAUUUAAGCAGCUUCAAGCAACUAGAGCUAGCCUGUGAAGCCCUGGAAGAAUAUCGCAUACCACCUCUGCAAGCAGAUUAUGCAUGCGUGCAACAAGUAUAUCCAGCAGUACAAUAAAGGGCAUACAUCCAUGCAAAAAAUUACUCGUAACUAUAUACUCCCUCUGUAUCAAAAUAUACAANNNNNNNNNNNNNNNNNNNNNNNNNNNNNNNNNNNNNNNNNNNNNNNNNNNNNNNNNNNNNNNNNNNNNNNNNNNNNNNNNNNNNNNNNNNNNNNNNNNNNNNNNNNNNNNNNNNNNNNNNNNNNNNNNNNNNNNNNNNNNNNNNNNNNNNNNNNNNNNNNNNNNNNNNNNNNNNNNNNNNNNNNNNNNNNNNNNNNNNNNNNNNNNNNNNNNNNNNNNNNNNNNNNNNNNNNNNNNNNNNNNNNNNNNNNNNNNNNNNNNNNNNNNNNNNNNNNNNNNNNNNNNNNNNNNNNNNNNNNNNNNNNNNNNNNNNNNNNNNNNNNNNNNNNNNNNNNNNNNNNNNNNNNNNNNNNNNNNNNNNNNNNNNNNNNNNNNNNNNNNCUAAUAUAAAUUAUAUGACCCCCUCACAAGCACCCGGCUGCUGAACAGACAGACAGUGUGUUCAAGAACUCAUGGACAGGAAGACUGGUAAAUGAUAUAAACUUAGUUAUUUCUCUCUGACCGAUCGAUUGGUUGAUAUUGAUCCAACGUCUGAUCAACCAUGGCACGUGAAAUUAAAUAGCACCACUGCACGAAAUGUAUUGAUCUUAUGUUCUAUCUUCACGCUCGUUAUUCCCUUCAAAUAGUUACAUGCUACAGAUAAAUACAGCUUAUGUGCAACAAGGAUAAAUACAGCUGUAAAAUAAAGGAAUCCAUGCAAAAUCUUAAUUACUCAUAACUAUACAAUUUAUAAAUUCUAUGAUCCCCUCAAACCCAUCCAGCUGUUGAAAAGGCAGUGUGCGUUCAAAAACUAGAAUACAUGAAGACUGGUGAUUGACAUAAACUUAGUUAUUUCUAUCCGAACAACCAUGGCACGUGAAACUAAAUAACACAGCUGCAUAAAUCGUAUUAAACAUAUGUUCUAUCCUCAUCGCACUCGUUCUUGCUUCCAAAUAGUUACAUGCUACGGAUCACCACCCACAAUAUGCUAUAUGUGAAUUGGAGGGUAGCUUAGCUGCCGGAAGCGCAUCGAUGUAGCAUGGGCGGUAAGGGAAUGCAGUAGACAUACCAUGGCCGUGUGAGUGAGGGUUUCUCACAAGGCACCCUCCUAGAAAUUGCAUCCUCAAGGUCCGAAGAUGUAAUCCCAUGAUCCUAAAAAAGUCAUACUCCCCAAACUGGCUGUCGUCAAAUUCAUUUGGGAAUAUGAAGUUGUCCUUGUUUGAGUCCCAAGAGUACUCGGAACUCUCUUCACUUUCCAAUUCAGCAUCUUCAUCUUCGCGUGCAUCUCUUUCUUCACCGUCAUCAUCAUCGUCAAUGUAACUAGUUGUGCCAUCGAUCCCAUCUGACUCAUGGAUGCAUUCUUCUUCUUCCUUGCCGGCAUAAAAAUCAACGUCAUCAGUUGUGUCACAUUGAUCCUCCUCCUCAUCAGAUAUGGAGUCCUUACUAUUAUACCUUUCGAACAAGCUAAGUGAUGCUUUGUUCUUUGCAACCGCUUCCCAAGGCACUCUAGGCGUAAUGAAAAAUUGCACUUCAUUUUUAUAAGGACUAAGAUCAGCCUCGUGUGCUAGCAUCCACCCCAUCUGCCCAUCGACUGAUUGUGUCAGUGCCCAUACAUGUAGUUGCAAUUUGUCAAGUGCCACAUAGCGAACCCCUCUCUCGUAGCUCAAUACUACAGAUCUCUCGGGCAGCUCAUACAUAUCUUGACGUCUUUUUUCGAUGUAAGGUUCACCUGGUAGCUGGGCCAUGUCAUACUCCCCCUCCAAUUUGCGCAAGAUCGUAAUGAUGUUAUUCCAGCAAUGUACAUAGAGAGAUCCCUGCCAGUACUCAGCUGACUUCCAUAUUUUCACGCAGCUAGGAUGCGGCGCAGUCACCAUGUCGUAGAGGUGCCCAGGUGCGCAACGCCCCAGCACAAAUUCCCGGCUUUCCCACUGACCGGUCUCUGACGAGAACAACAGUAUAGAGAUCACCUUAUCCUUUGGCUCCCCGGCCCCCAUCACUUGGACAUGCAUCUUUUGUUUCUCCGGUGGCGAAACCUGACCUUGUUGCGAUGGCGAUGGCAAUGGCAGUUCCUUGGCCAACACAUCUAAUCUUGAUGGUGACGAUGUAUGAAACUCUCUCACGUACCCAACAUGGUCUUUGAUUUCGUCUUCUUCUGGUAGUUCAUCUUCAUACUCGAGGUACUCCAACCAGGUUUGUGGUUCGGUAUUAUUUACUUCCAUCAACGGUUGGAUCUUUUCUUCCACUGCCGGUUGGAUCUUUCCUCUUGGAAGUAGGAAUACCUCAUACUGUAGUGUCACAGCCGGAUCGAAGGCGAGGAACAUGCCCCUAUGGUACAGCCAAACCUCCUCCUCGUCCUCGUCCUCCUCCUCUGGCGGUAGUGGCAGCUGAGUGCAUCGCACAGUCGCCGGGUUGCAGACAUAAUGUUCGGACGAUUUGUUUUGGAGAAAGAAUGAUUUUUCCCGGAGGAGAAGGAGGCCGUUGCAGCAAUGGAGCACGGAAACCCAGUCAUGCCGAAAGAGAGGAUAUUGGAACAUGGGCCCGUCGUGAGCCCCACGCGGCUGUUCCAAGCGCGGCGGCGGCGGGGCGAAGAAGGAGGACUCCUCGUGGGCUGCGUUUUGGAUUUUGGUUUGGGAUUUUUUUCGCCCCAGGCCGAGAUGGCCGAAUUUCGGUCAUUUUCAAAAAUUUUGGUUGAAAUUUGACCAAUAUUUGACUGAUGUUUGACCAAAAUUUGUCAAAUUUGACCAAUUUCGGCCGAAAGAGACUUUUCGCCCUAGGCCGAGAUGGCCAAAAUUCGGCCGAAAUCUGUUUUUCUCGGCAGAAAAUCAAAACACAGCUCGUGGGAUCCGAAGUUGUUGAUGAAGAUGCCGGGGAAGGGGCCUUUGGGGAAGAAAUGUGGAAGGAGGAGCUUGUGGGUGUCGACGGUGGCGCGCCACGCAUGGCAGACGCGCCGGGACUCAUGCGAGGGCUUAGCAGGGGAGGAGGCCGAGGAUAUCGACGAGCACGUCGUAGGGGAAGCACAGCCCGUUGUGGUCUCCGUCGCCGUCCAUCUGCCCGGCCUCCCGGGCGCAGAUCAGCUAGCUCGGAGAAGGCGGCGCCGAUCGAGGGAUCCAGGGACCAUGGGGAUCGGAGCGACCAAGACAAGUACGGGCUAGGUCAUAGAUGGCGAUGGAUCGAGUUGUAGAAACAGUACCUCUAGCUAGCCUAGCUAGAUCGUGUCCGUCCAUUGUCGAGUUGUGCAUCGAUGCAAUCUAUGUAUGUGCGUACUUGGAACUUAUUCAUCCAAUUCCCAUAUACGGCCGGCGUACAUAACGAGCUAUAUAUAGACGUAGUAAUUGUGAUGGAGCUACCUUCAUGACCGGCCUUCCAUCGCAUCAAUGGCUGUUACCGCCGCACACACAUAUUUCGGAGGCACAUAUUUUUGCGUUAAUGCUACCUGAUAUGCUAGAGGCUAGAGCAAACCGACUCCUCCCUACCAAAUUGUCCGAUGUCUAUCGAAAAUCAUGGAAAGAAAUAUAGAUGCGUUGUGUGCUUAUAACAUAGAAAUGUGCAAUACGGAUCAUAAAAAAAAACAUGACUAGUGUGGCUUAGGCAAGAGUUUGGAUUUGAAUUCUUUUGGGCAUGCGGCACAUUGUCAUACUUUUUAUUUGCAGGUUCAAAUCUUGCAUAUCAGCAUCAACAUAAAUAUACCGUGGGUUCAACUGCACUAAAACUCGACCAAUCAAGAGCCUUAUUGGUGCCUCUUUGAUUCAAACGAUUUUGAUAUGAACUCUGAAGAAUCAGAAUCCUUGAGAUUUUUUCUGCGUGGGUUCUUUGAUUUGUAGUAUGGAAUCCUAUGGGAAAAUUUUCUAAUGAUGAUUACUUUGCACUACAUUACAAAGAACAAUUUACAUCCAUUGAAACCUUUUGAAAGAAAUCUUAUAUAGUACAGUAUAUAAAUUUCUACGUCCCACAAGUACCUACCUGGUAAAGACAAGCAGGCUAGUAAAAGAUACCGUGCAACAUAUUGAAUGGUACGUACGCUCUCAGUGCUAAUUUGGAGUUCGCUAACCACAUGAGUAAUUCGGUACGUACGCUCUAUUUUUAUCACGCUCUUUCUUCCUUUCAAGUAGUUAGAGAUACAGAUCCUCAAAAAAAAGUAGUUACAGCUACGGAUCACCCUAUGGACUAUAAGACAGUUUAGUUGCCGGAAGUGCGUCGACAAAGCACGGACGAUAAGGAAACGCAGCGUCGACACCAUUAUCUUGCGUGUUAGUGUUUCUCAAGAGGCACCGUCCUAGACAUUGCAUCCUCGAGGUCCCAAGAUGGUAUGCCACAACGGCACCGGAGAAUUUGAGGAGCACUGCAUCCAGUAGCGGACCCAGGAAUGAGCCAAGGCCCAGGCAGCUCUGUUGACUGUAGCAAAUUACUGUAGCCACAACACACAAAUAUAUGAAGGACAUGGACCUCACGCCCCAGGCCGCCGCCCCUUCUGCCUGGGGCCUAAAUCCGCCCAUGACUGCAUCCUUGUGUGGAUGUAACCCCACGAUCUUGAAAGAGUCAUACUUCCCAAGGUAGGCGUCACUUUCACCAGAGUCUAUGAAGUUGUGCUCGUUUGAAUCCCAAGAGUACUCGGAACCCUCUUCGCUUUUGAAGUCAUCAUCUUCAUCACUUUCAACAUCUAUAAAGUUGUGCUCAUUUGACUCCCAAGAGUACUCGGAAUCCUCUUCGCUUUUGAAGUCGUCAUCUUCAUCUUCGUGUGCAUCUUCUUCACCAUCAUCAUCAAGAUCACCGGUAGUGCCAUCGAACCCAUCUGCCUCAUCGAUGUCUUUUUCUUCAUCAUCACCAGUGUCAUCAUCUACGUCGUCAUUAGUUGUGUCAUCCUUCUCGUCAUAUAUGAACCCAUUAAUGUUAUGCAGUUCAAACAAACUAAGUAAUGUUCUAUCGUUUACGACCACCUUCCAAGGCACUUUGGGCUUCAUGGACAGUAUUCCAUUAUUAUAAGGACUAAGGCAUGUCUCGUGUGCUAGCAUCCACCCUAUCUGGUCAUCAGUUGAUUCUGUCAAUGUCCAAACCUGUAGUUGGGAAUUAUCGAGCACCACAUAACGAACCUCUCUCUCAUAAUUCAUUAACACAGAUCUCUCGGGCAACUUAUGCAUACUUCCAUAUCUUUUCUCGAUGUAAGGCUUACCAGGCAACUGGGCCAUGUCGUAUGACCCCUCAAAUUCCCGCAAGAUCAUAAUAAUGUCAUUCCAGCAGUGUACAUAGAGAGACCCUUGCCAGUACUCAGCUGACUUUCAUAUUUUCACGUAGCUAGGAUGCGGUGCGGUCAACAUGUCGUAGAGGUGCCCAGGGGCGCAACGCCCCGGCACACACUGCCGGCUUGCCCAUUGACCGUUCUCUGAGGAGAACACCAGUACAGAGAUCACCUUUUGGUUUGGUACCUCGAGCCCUGGCACAUGGACAUGCAUCUCCUGUUGUUCCGGCGUUGAAACCUCGCCUUCUUGUGAUGCCAAUGACAAUUCAUCUAAUCUUGAUGGUGAUGAUGUAUCCAAGUCUCUGACAUACUCAGCAUGCUCUUUUGUGUCUAUCUGAUGUUGGCCUCCUUCCGAUAGCUGCUCUUCUUCAUACUCCACGUACUCCAACCAGGUUUGUGGUUCGGUAUUUUUUUACUUCCAUCAAAGCUUGGAUCUUUUCUUCCAUGGAUGGUUGGCUCUUUCCUCUUGGAAGGAGGAAUACCUUGUGGUGCCGCGACACGGCGGGGUCGAAGGCGAGGAACAUGCCGUGGUGAUACGACCCCAUGGGUGGCAGCUGAGCGCAUCGUAUUGUCGCUGGGUUAGAGCAUCUCCAACAGGUGUCCAAAAAGAGCUCCGUGCGCUAAAAGUUUAGUUUUUUGGGCGCCGGGCAGCUCCAGCGGAAAUUGUAGCGCUAAAAGUUUUUGGGCGCGCGCUGAAAAACGCUAUCGCGCGCAAUAUAUUUUAGGCGCCGGAUUGUGCGCGCUUCACAAUUUACAACUGUCUGCUUUUUGGACGCGUGUUUUUGGGCCCCUGCCAAAGCAAAGUUGGUACCGGCGCAUUAAAAGUGCUACAAUGGCGCGAUAUAACGUUUAUUGGGCACGGAAUUUUUGUGCGACCGUUGGAGAUGCUCUUACAGACAUAAAAUUCGGAUGAAUCGUCCCGGAGGAGAAGGAGACCGUUACAGUAGUGGAGCACCGAGGCCCAGUCAUGCCGAAAGAGUGGACGCCGGAAGGCCCAGAACACAGGCCUGUCACGAGCCACGGGAGGCUGCUCCGAUCGCGACGCCGGCGGGGCAAAGAAGGAGGACUCGUCGUUGGAUCCGAAGUUGUUGGUGAAGAUGCCGCUGAAGGGGCCCUGAGGGAAGAAGUAUCGAAGGAGGAGCUUGUGGGUGUCGACGAUAUCGCGCCACGCACGGCAGCCGCGCCGCGACUCCACGAGCGCGUGGCACAGGAGGCGGCCGAUGAUGCCGAUGAGCACGUCGUAGGGGAAGCAGAUGCCGUUGCCGUCGCUGUCCAUCUGGCCGGCCGGCGGGGGGUGCAGAUCGGUUAACUCGGGGAGGCGGCGAGGGAUCGAUGUCGACCGAUCAGAGUUGUAGAAAUAGUACCUUUAGCGUAGCUAGAUCGUGUCCGUCUGUCGUCGAGUUGUGAUGUGCAUCGGUCCAAUCUAUAUGUAAGUACGUAUUUGGAAAGUAUUCAACCAAUUCGGACUGAGUUAUGGGCUUACGGCCGAUGUGCGUACAUACAUCUCCCAUCGAGCCCAUGUCCAUGAUGUUUUUGUGUUGGGAGUGACUAAUGAACAGGCGACUGAUUUUAAAUUGGUGUCAGGUCGUUUUUUAUUCCACUCAAUGAUUGACACCUGUCUAAGUAUAUACUCUGUCUAGAAACUCAUUAGUACAGAAAAACGUCUGUUUCCUUUCCUGCUUCAGGUCGAAAAUCUGCCGAAGCCUCUUGGGCUCCUUUUAGUUUACGUAAAAGGAACCUGCCCCUGAAACGGGCCUCCUAGCAGACCCGUUAAUGCAAAAACGUGAAGGUUGACUAACAGAAGGAACCCACACUGUCCACCCCCACCACCCCUCUCUCUCACCCGUCUAGGGGGCUGCGUUGGGUAACAACACACUGCCCUCCCUUCCCUAAAAUUUUCAUUUAUAUAUACAUGCUGCAUUUAUGUGAUGAUCACCUUACUUGUGAAUCAUCUAUACAUAAAGAAAAUGUACUAUAGUUAGAUAAGGCUUGUGUCCCUGUUGUUCUACUUGGCAGAGAAGAACUCAAUAAAAACAUGAUCACCUUCCUGCAUAAAAAACUGAUAAUCGAUUAAUCACUGAAUAUACAAACACUUAACAUAGAGUGAAGAAACUAACACUAAAACUGUGCAAUCAUGAGGAAAAUGAAAACUAGAACUAAUAUACUGAUAAACACUAGUGUGGGAACUUGCUGAGUUAAUCAUGAACAAACUAAACAAAGAGGCAAAAACUGGACACUCGGGAUAAAACUGAGGACAUAUAUACUGAAACCUGAGGAAAUAUAUGGAAGAAAACUGAGGACAAAUACUGAAACCUGGAUAAGACCUUAAAUGACACUGAACCUAAAAUACAGAAAUCUAAAACUGAAAUAACUAAGGAUCAAGAACUAUAUAUACUGAAAUAACAACAAGCAACACCACACUGAAAUUGUACUCAAGAAUGCACACUGAAUCUGAAACAGAUGAAUAAUAGAACGAAAAAAUAAUACUGACGAACACACACUGAAUAUGACUUGAAGAACUUGAUUACUGAAUCCGAAGCAGAAAACUGAUGGAAAAUAGAGGACUAAUAGAAAGAAUACCAAGAAGACUGAGAAGAAUACCAAUAGGACUAAGGAAUAAAGAUAACUAAUGACUGAUAACUAAGAAAGAAGAAGCAUAGACUUAAGAGUGACAGAAUGUAAGACAAGGUGAAACACAUAACUAAAAGACAAAAUAACACUGAAUAUGACUAAAGAUAAACUAAAGAACUAAGACUGGAUAAGACAGAAGAUCAUAGAACAAGACUAAAAUAAUUAUGACUGAAAUACAAAUUGACUCAAUGUGACAUAUGACUAAAAAGAGAUUAAUGAUAGAAUUGGAUUUUAUACUUCUUCGUCACAUAUUUGUUCUUGAGUUUCUAUACUGUAUCUGAAAAAGAGACUGGAUUUUACAGGUAAACAGCUACGUGAAUGAGGAUAUGCAUGAUAUGUGCAUUGGAAGCCAAGAAGCUCUGUUCAUGCAGGUCGAUGGAGGAAGGAAAAAAAUUCUUCGUAUUUUUUACGCCUUACAACUAUUCAUUCAGUUUCAGAGGUGGCAGAAAAAGAAAAAAUUACAGACGACUGAAUAUGAAAUUUGACGCUGCCAAGGGAUAUUUUAAGCUAACAAUCAUCAGGGGGAGAAAAUAUUUUGCAUUCCAAGGACAAGUCUGCUGUUCCUGCAAACUCAUCGAUGCACAGGACAAAAAGACGAGCAAGUUAUUCGUUCAGGUUCAGAUAACCAAACAGACUUGCAUCCUGAAUUACAAGAUUUUUUUUCAAAAAAGACAUGUGUAUAAGAAAGAAAACAUCGAUCCAAAAGCACAUGUAUGAGCACAGAUAACUAGACUUCCCAUUUCUCACUUAUGCAGAUUAAAAGAGGGUAACUAGAACAAAUUCCAUUGUGUACACUAGUUUCAGAACAAUCUACUGCCUGGUUAGUUGGUGCAUAACACUACAUUCAGAUGAUCCCCAAGCCAUUCUCUACGUAAUCACUCAACUCUCUGAAAACAGAUCGCAUCCAUUACUAACUAAAAGCCAUCAAAAUCAUGCUGACAACAAAAGUGGCACCCUACAAUUUCUCCACAUUAGUACUCCUGCAGAAGAAAAAAACGCAUACAUUCAGUUACCUAUCUCUGACCAUCUACAAACAUUCCUUGGGCUUCUAAAAUAUCUUACAGGGUAACACACUAUAUGUGAAAAAUUCAAUCAGACUGAAAAUGAGGUCUACAUCCAGAACAAAAGAGUACUACAUUAAGACAAAGUUGAGGCCUACUUAGUGAACGAAAAUUGGGGGACACACACAUACAGGUGCCUGCAGCAAAUUCAGGGGCGUUCUAUGAUGAACCACUCAAAAAACUCCUCCAGGAUUGAAGAGAUUCAUGGGCAUUUCUGUUCUACCGCACACCUUCCUGGCCGAAACUACAAACAACUAAACCACCCCCUGCUAUGGAGGUCUGUGACCGGUGACAAACACGACGAACUGAAAUUCAGAGGGCAUAGACAUAUAGAACAGAAAAAGGGCAGCGGGAAGGAGCGUGAUACCUUGCGCCCCGAUGGCGCCGACGACUGCCGUCGCACCCACCGACUGAAGCUUGCUGGUGGCGGACAUGGCGGCGCAGCUCCGCCGAGCUCCUCUCCAAACCGACAUCUGACCUGCGUGCAGCCGGCACUGUGGAGCAUGCCUCCUGCUUACAAGCUCUCCUCGAGGAGGACUCGGCGCACGCCAUCUCUGUUGCUAAACACCGGCGAGGACGCCCCCGCCUCCCCUCCGCCGUCUCCGCCCCCGCCUUCCCUCCGGCCGUCUCCGCCCCGCCUCGGCCCACCCCCCACCAAUCCCCUCCUCAGAUACAACAAAGGCCGCCGCCCCACAGACUGAAUAGAAAACUCAAAAACACCUGGCGCUUCGCGGAUCGGAUAACGUAAACCAUGGACGCGCAAACCCGAAAGCCCAACAACACAGAAAAAGGUCCGCCUCGUACCCACAACCAACUGAGGACAAACGAAAAUCACUGAGAUUGGUGCGAAUCGGACGGACUAAAAAACGACCUGAGACGAAUUUGUUUUCAGACGACUGAAAAAUAGUAAAAGUGUUUUGUGUUUGUACAUGUGGGGGAGCUACCUUCUUGGCCGGCCUUCCAUCGCAUUAAUGGCUGCCGCCGCACACACACAUUUCGGAGAUCGGCGGGAGCCGGCCUCCAUCGCAUCAAUGGCUGCCGCCGCACACACACAUUUCGGAGGGAGUAGAUAUGUGCAAUACCGGCCAUGAAGGAAAAAACAUAACUAGUGUGCCGUAGGCAAGAAGGUGAGUUUGAAUUCUUUUGAGCAUACAUCACAUUCUCAUACAUUUUAGUUGCAGGUUCAAAUGUAGUAUUUCGGCGCCACCGCUAAAACACCAUGGUUCAACUGCACUAAAACUCAAUCGCUAAGAAUUCAAGAUCCUCAUUAGGGACUCUCUGAUCUAGAGAAUUUUCUAAUUAUUCCUUUGCACUACAUUCCAAAGAAAAAUUUACGCCCACUCAAAACUUUGGCAUGUAAUCUUUUGGAUUUUCCUAGGGAACAACCAAUGGAAAUUUCAUCCUACAAAUUUAAUCAUGUAGAAUUCGUCCAGACUAGGUCUUUUGUUAGUAGCUCGAGAUCAUGAGCAACACAUUUAUUUCCACUGAACCCACUCACAUAAAUUCCCAUAUAUAUCUUACACUCUAGCAAAAGAAUGUAAUGAACCUCUCUUGGUCUUUUGGAUGAAUAACAUGGCGUCAUGUUUCAACAGGGACGAGCUGCAGGUGACACUUGUUGAUGCACAGUCCAGGUCCAUCAACUGGCAUGUAAAGAAAUGGAAAUAACUUAGGCCGGCACCAUAAACUACCAUGUAAACUGAUGACAUACCUUGGGCCGGCAGCUGCAACUACCAUGUAAACAAAUGACAUACCGUGGGCCGGCACAAGGCCGGCAGUGAAGCUUUUGAACUAGUCACCUCCAUCUAUUCUCUAAAAAAGCGGAAAAAGUGCAAUCCAUCUUUCAAACUCUUGAGAACUGGGCACUGUCAAAAACAAAACAAAAACUGCAGAGAAGUACUGGAGAAGAGAACGGAUAACCAGAAAGAGAGUUCAGGCGCCACCCACGCUGGCUAGACCAUCUUCUACACAGCGGUGCAGUACAGGUUAGACCUUGUGUUCUUUGCUUGUACUACUCCGCAAAGGCAAAGCUCAUCUCGAGCUUGCUUACCAUAGGGCCAAUAACUGACUGGUUUACUGGUUACAGUUUCGGUUUGAAGCACCAUGGGUCCUGCCGUUCUCUUCUUCCUCGUGCUUGCGGCUGCAGCACCCUUGCAUUUGGCGGCACAGACCUUGAAUUAUUCCAUGGCGAAACCCUCGACGGUUUGGAUCAACAACGAAUUUCAACGCCACGGCUUCAGCAGCCGCCUCCGCACCAUCGUCACCCGUUCUCUAGGACCAGAAACUCAAGCUCGCCCUGACUCUGAACUUGAUGUUGCCGCAGGGUUCACAUGUGCCUCCCGUCAGUCAGCAUGCAACGAUUUCCUCUUUGCGGUGUUCAUUUACAUGAAUGUUGGGUUCAACCUUAAUAAUGCCACAACUCCACAGCCACAGGUAAUCUGGUCUGCCAACCAGGCUCGCCCUGUCACAGAGAAUGCAACCCUUGAGUUUACCUCGGAUGGGAACUUGGUCCUCUGUGAUGAUGAUGGUAGCCAUGUCUGGUCCACCAGCAGCUCAGGCCGGUCUGUGGCUGGAAUGUUGAUCACCGAUAUAGGCAAUUUGGUGUUGUUCGAUCAGAGAAAUGCAACAGUGUGGCAGUCAUUUGAUCAUCCUACCGACACAUUGGUCCCUGGGCAGUCACUUGUGGAAGGUACGAGGCUCACAGCAAGUACUUCUGCAAUAAAUAUGAUGAAUCCAAAUCAGUUUUAUAUCACUGUACUCCCAGAUGGAUUACAUGCUUAUGCUGAAUCCACACCACCACAACUAUACUACCGUUUACCCUGGGCGUCCAUCGACAAGAAAGGAAAUGAUCCAAUAACUGUUACAUUCAUGAAUGAAAGCCUCACCGUCUCUGUGCGGUCAGAUAUAUAUCAUCAGUUCUCACUGCCACCAGCAAAAUCUACCCGGUUCAUGAGAUUAGAUUCAGAUGGACACUUGAGGGUGUAUGAACAGUCUGGUAUAUCAUGGCCCGUGGAGUAUGAUGUAAUGCAAAUAGAUUAUUGUGCUUACCCAACAGUCUGCGGGCGGUACGGCAUAUGCAUGGGCGUACAGUGCACUUAUCCACUUGAGAACAAUUCAAAUUCACGGCACUUCAAGCCAGUGGAGGAACGGAAGCCAAAUCUUGGUUCCACCCCAAUAACUCCAAUCUCUUGUCAAGAAAUUCAACACCAUCAACUCUUCACACUUACUAAUAUUUCUUACUUUGUCAAAAAACCGACAGUUGUGAAUGCGACAAGCAUCGAUGACUGUAAGCAAGCAUGCCUGAAGAAUUGCUCCUGCAAGGCUGUUAUAUUUAGGCACCGGAACAAUUCCCUUGGAAAAUGCGAUUGGUUGACGGAGGUCUUCUCUUUGCAAUCAAUACAGCCUGAAGCAUUUGGUUACAGCUCGUCUGCUUACCUCAAGGUGCAGCUUAGCCCCACCAUUUCUGCAUCUACUUCAAACAAAAAAAGGGUGUUGUUAGUUGCUACAUUUGUAGCUAUUGCUACUCUUGUAUUGUUUAUCAUUGCGGUCACUCUUUAUCGACAAAGGAGGAGGAAGUAUGAAGACAAAAAUGAGGAAUUUUAUUUCGAUCAAUUUCCUGGAAUGCCAACAAGGUUUUCUCUUGAGAAGUUGACUGAAUGCACUCGAGGAUUCGAUAAGAAACUCGGAGAAGGCGGGUUUGGGUCAGUUUUUGAAGGGAAAUUAGGUGAAGAAAGAAUUGCAGUAAAACGUUUAGAAGGUGCUAGACAGGGAAAGAAAGAGUUCUUGGCAGAGGUCGAGACUAUUGGCAGCAUUGAACACAUCAAUCUUGUCAGCCUGAUUGGGUUUUGUGCACAGAAGUCUGAGAGGCUUCUGGUAUAUGAAUAUAUGUCCAGAGGGUCGCUUGAUAGGUGGAUCUAUUACCAUCAUAACAACAACCCUCUUGAUUGGUGCACUCGUUGUAGGAUUAUAUUGGAUAUUGCCAAGGGCCUAUGUUAUCUUCAUGAGGAGUGCAGGCGAAAAAUUGUUCAUCUGGACAUCAAACCACAAAAUAUUCUCUUAGAUGACAAUUUCAAUGCCAAAGUGGCUGAUUUUGGACUAUGUAAGUUAAUAAACAGGGAUCAAAGCAAGGUAGUAACCGUGAUGAGAGGAACACCUGGAUAUCUUGCACCUGAAUGGCUGACAUCGCGGAUCACUGAAAAAGUGGAUGUCUACAGCUUUGGAGUUGUUGUCAUGGAAAUAGUAAGUGGAAGGAAAAAUAUUGACAAUUCUCAUGCCGAGGAGGAAGUUCAGCUCAUAAAUUUAUUACGGGAAAAAGAACAAAACAAUCAAUUGAUUGAUCUGAUCGACAAGCAUAGUAACGAUAUGUUGUCACGUCAGGAAGAAGUGAUUCAAAUGAUGAAGCUCGCAGUAUGGUGCCUGCAAAACGAAAGCACUCGAAGGCCUUCAAUGUCAACUGUGAUCAAGGUAUUGGAAGGUGGGAUGAGCGUAGAAACUUUUGAUGUAAAUUCAAUCAUGCCUGUUCAAGAUAAUUUAUCCACAUAUUUGGUCCCAGCUCAAGCAUCCAUAUUAUCCGGCCCAAGGUGAAACAUGUGGCUAACGUGCUUUAGAAAUUUAACUUGUAUGUUUUUGCUUUUGUAUCUUGUCCUACUUUGGAAGUAUGUUUGGAUGGCGUCAAAGAACAACUUGCAGUCAAUAUGUGUGUUUGAUUGUCCGGUGAAGUGUCUCGUUGUCGACUCAUACCUUUAGAGCUGAAAAAAAAAACAGUAGUGCCAUGUGACGUAUGCCAGAAAAGAUACCGGCCAGGAGAUGGUUUGAAGGAAGGAGAAUGCUUAGAGGAGAGAGCGCCUGCUGUGGUAGGGUGAAACUGUGUUAGUUAGUGACUAUUCUAGAUAAUGCAUCCACAUAUCGAACACCGUGUUGUUCCAGCGUUUAUCUUAUCUGUCCCAAGGUGAGACAGGCGCUCAAUGAGUAUGCUUCUCCUGUCCAACAUGGAUUUGUGUCCCUCCCCUGCCAUUAUGUUUGAUUGGGUGUGACACCAUACUCUAUGGAAAUGCAUAAGAAGUGAAAUCAUUUGACAUAUUUUUUGGCAUAAAAAAUAGCUGACAUUUAGUUAGCUGAAUUUAUAAAACUCAACUGGGAAUUGGGAUGAAAGUUAGCAGCUACAUUAAACCGAGCAGAAUGGGAGGUCGGAGGCUUUCUCCAUGUUCUUCUGCAAGUUGCAACUCACAAUGUACUGACAAACAAUUGGAAUUGCAGGCAAGAUAUACCUAGUGUUCUGAAUAUUUGGCCUAGACAGGCUUCGGUGCUUUCCAAUGCAGUGACAAUGUACCCAUGAAGGUUUCUGCAAUCAAACUUACAGGAGGGCUGAUAAACACAACCCUAAGUUCGAAUUUGAUUUUCACUGAGACUAAACAGCAUAAGUAUUAUCAUUCGAAUUUGAUUCAGAGCCCACUACAGUUCCAUUUGGGAUGUACAGUAGAACUUACUGAACUGGCAGAGGUUGAUGCAGAACCAAACCUGGGGUAGCAGACGCUCCCUGGAGAAGAAGCAGGGUCGGGCGACCGGUGCUGCAGGCUCCUCGCCGCCGCAGGCGCGCGGGAGGAACCCCUCGGUCGCGCGAGGUGAGGAGUGUGCGCGGUUCUGCGUAGAACCGCAGCGGCAGGAGGUCGAAGUGCUCAUCAAGCCACGCGGGGUGACCAUGCCGGGGUAGUGGCGGCAGCGGGUCGUCGGAGCUUUUGGGGUCUGCGGUGGCGCCGGCGACGCGGGAGGGGAGAAGGAGCCGUCCAGGUGACAGCUUUUUUUUUCCUGUGGAAUUGUUGCGGCGAAUGGGCAUCUGAGCUCGCGAGUCGCGAUCAGAAGCCCAGCCCAGUGGGAGGCCUGCCUCUUGGCUAGGAUGUUUGACAAAAAAAUAUCACUCAAUUUUCCUGAAAACCAAUAUUUUUUAGGAAAACAAAUAUGAUCACUCGAUUUACCUCAGAAAAAGUGAUACUCACUAAUUAUUUUAUAAUCACUAGAUAUUCUUCAUAGAAAAAAUGAUGAUCACUGGUUCUAAGAAAAAAUAUAUGAUAACUCGAGUUACGAGCAAUAUUUACUGCUGAAACAAUCGUACAAUUCCCUCACAAGACAAGUUGAAGAAUUACACCGCGUCCUGGGUCGGUAGCAAUGCUACAUACUUACAUGUACAAAGACUACGAAAAAUAACAAUGUAAUAAUAUACUACUCCUUCCAUCCUAAAAUAAGUGUCUCAACUUUGUACUAACUCUAGUAUAAAUUUGUACUAAGCUCAAGACAUUUAUUUUGAGAUAGAGGGAGUAAUAUACUAGUCACAUAUAUGAAUAAUAACAACCAAUGAAUUCGUCGCGUAUUCAGCUCAUAUCAAUAUCAUGAACACUCAGGGAGAACCUGUACGUGCGUGUAUAGUUGCUCGACAUAAACAUGCGAUUAAUUUGGCACAAAGAUUCGUGGCAUUGCCACCUAAGUAGACGUACUGCACCAUAAAAGAUGAUCGAUCACCAAUUAAGUGUGUGUGUAUAUAUGACAUCAUCAUCCAAGAGACAUGUUGCUCCAGAUCCCACAUGCCAUCCUCACAGGUGAAAGCUUCAUCAAACAUCUGUUGAUUUGGUUUGGAUUCAACGCAGUUGACAAGUUCAGAGUUAGUUACCCAUUGUUGAAGAACAGAGUUCAGACUUCAGAGAUACCCACCACACGGCAGACACAAACUGAAGUCAUACCAGUGCAGGCUCAGACCUGGCAAGCAUGAUGGAGAUACCCCUUCUGCCUUAAAAUGAUUUUUGCUGACUGGAGCACACAUUUCCUAACUUGUACACACUAGUGAUCCAGGCCACAAACUGCCAUGGAAAACUGGGCCCAGUAGAGUACAGCUAGCCAGUCAGCGACACUUCUGAACUAGUCAGACCAAUCCAUCUCCAAAAUCACCAAAAAAAAAACUUUCCCAGCGAGUCGAGGCACCCAACACCGGCAUCUUUUUCCGGCAAUCUCAUCUUCUUCACCAGAGGCUUGGUAUCAUCAGGUGCAACCGUGUGAUCUUAUUUCUACUCUGCAAGUGCUAGUUCAUUCCCAGUUUCUUGGUGGUUUCUCAUGUAUGCAAGUUCAGAUAUAUAUAACCCACGGCCAACACGACCCGAAUUUCUGAACAAGCUGCAUCUAGCAGACUUAUUUUUGUACCAGCCCAGGCUCAGACCUGUCAAGCACGAUGGAGACGCCCUCGUCAUCAAACGUAUAUUUUGAGGAUAAAAAGAUUAUAUUCCUGUGGGCAGAUUGGUUUCGACGCAGCGAACAAGUUCAGAGUUACACAUUGUCACAGAAAGAAGUUCAGAGAUGCGCUUGAUUUUGUACUAGUGCAGGGGCUCAGACUUGUCAAGCAUGAUGGAGAUUUUCUUUCUUCUUACCAUAAUAAAUCAUACCUGUUUUGCCGACUGGAGAAGAUCAAUAAUUUCCUGGCCGACAGGGAUUAGAGACUUGUACUGGCUACUACCUAGCAAUGGGCCAACCAAUCAAUGUUUCUGUUGACUGGAACAGCACAUCAUCGCUUUCCUGUCUUAAUCAUAAGAGAGGCAAGUGGUGAGCGGUACACCACAGAGAGACUUGUUGACUUGCAUACUCGGCAACUACCAAUGGAAGUCUUGGGUCAGCAGAGCAAAUCAGUGACAUCUCCAGAAUCACAAAACAUUGCUCCCAACGAGUCCGGGCACGCAACCCGGGGAUCACCGGCCAUCCUUUUUUCCGGUGAUCGGCAUGAUCUUCUCCGUCGGCAGCUCAGGACCAUAAGGUGCGACCUUGUGAUUUUGCUCUAAUCUUCUACUAGUUCUUCCCCAGUUUCUUGGCGGCUUAUCAUGAGCCAAGAGAAUCAACUGAUUAUUCUUAAUUGUAGACUCUGGUUCCUCCCAAGCGGCAUGGGUCCUGCCAAUCUCUUCAUCCUUGUACUUACAACUACGGCGCCAUUACUCUCCACCUCGCAGCCCUUUAACUAUUCCAUGGCCAGACCUUCGAUGGUGUGGAUCAACAACGCCUCCUCCUACUAUGAUAUACCCACCGUGGACCCAGCUGUCACCAGUUUUGUACCACAAGGAGCUAAUUCUAGCUCCGGGUUCGCCUUUGCCGCGGGGUUCGUUUGUGCCUCCACCCUCGUGUGCGACGUGUCCCUCUUUGCUGUUUCUGUUGUCAGCUAUGCAAGGAACCGGCUUUUUCUGGAGCAGGUUGUCUGGUCUGCCAACCGGGAUCACCCUGUUAGGGAGAAUGCCACCCUCGAGUUUACCUCGCACGGAAAUUUAGUCCUCCGUGAUGCUGAUGGUAGCCACGUCUGGUCGAGCAGCACCUCAGGUCAGUCUGUAGCAGGCAUGGUGAUCAGCGGGACUGGAAAUCUGAUGUUGUUUGACAAGAAAAAUGCGACAGUGUGGCAGUCAUUUGAUCAUCCUACCGAUACAUUGAUCCGUGGGCAGUCACUUCUAGAAGGUAUGAAGCUCACAGCAAGUGCCUCUGCAACAAAUACGACUAAGAAUCAGUUCUAUAUCACAGUACUCCCACACGGAUUAUAUGCUUAUGUUGAAUCCACACCACCACAACUCUACUUUUCAUUCUAUUACUCGGUGGCCGAUCACAGGAAGGAAAAUGAUUUAACAAGGGUUACAUUCAUGAACGGAAGCCUCACGAUCUUUGUGCAGUCAGAUAGGUUUGGUGGUAUCUCAUUGCCAGCAAGUGAAUCCAACCAAUACAUGAAACUAGAGUCAAAUGGACACUUGAGGUUGUACGACUGGGAUGACAGAUCUAUUUUGUAUGAAGUAAUGCAGAUAGAUGAUUGUGAUUACCCAACAGUUUGUGGGGAGUAUGGCAUAUGCAUCGGGGCCCAAUGCAUUUGUCCAUAUGAGAACACUUUCUUCAAGGCGGUGGACGAACGACGGCCCCAUCUUGGUUGCACACCAUUAACUCCAAUCUCUUGUCAAGAAAAACAACGGCAUCGACUAUUGGCCCUUCCCUCCAUUUCUUACUUUGAUAAGAACUACACGGUAGUGAACGCCAAAAGCAUGGCUCAUUGUAAGAAAGCCUGCUUGAAGAGCUGCUCCUGUAGGGCCAUCAUCUUCAGUUAUUACCACAAUGAUUCCUAUGGAGAAUGUGUGUGGGUGACAAAGGUCUUCUCCUUGCAAUCAAUGAAGCAUGAGGAUGUUGGCUACAACUCUACUGCCUACCUCAAGGUGCAAAUUGAUGAAAACAAAACGAAGGUGAUGUUAGGAGCUACACUUGGAGCUAUUGGUGCUCUUUUAUUACUUGUCACUGGUAUAUGUCUUUGUCUAAAGAGGAGGGGGAAAUAUGAAGAGAAAGAUGAAUUUGAUUUUGAUCAAUUGCCUGGAAUGCUGACAAGGUUUUCUUUCGAAAAGCUGAGCGAAUGCACUGAAGGGUUCAGUAAGAAGCUAGGAGACGGUGGGUUUGGUUCAGUUUUUCAAGGGGAAUUAGGUGAAGAGAAAGUUGCGGUGAAACGUUUGGAAGGUGCCAGACAAGGCAAGAAAGAGUUCUUGGCAGAAGUAGAGACUAUUGGCAGCAUAGAACAUAUCAAUCUUGUCAGGUUGAUUGGGUUCUGCGCAGAGAAAUCUGAGAGGCUUCUAGUGUAUGAAUAUAUGUCAAGAGGGUCGCUUGAUAGGUGGAUCUAUUACCACCAUAACAAUGCCCCUCUUGAUUGGUGCACCCGGUGGAGGAUCAUUCUGGCUAUUGCCAAAGGCCUAUGUUAUCUUCAUGAGGAGUGCAGGCAUAUAAUUGCUCAUUUGGACAUCAAACCACAAAAUAUUCUCUUGGAUGACAAAUUCAAUGCUAAAGUGGCUGAUUUUGGGCUUUGUAAGUUAAUAAAUAGGGAUCAAAGUAAGGUAGUGACUAUGAUGAGAGGAACACCUGGAUAUCUGGCACCUGAAUGGUUAACUUCGCGAAUCACUGAAAAAGUUGACGUCUACAGCUUUGGAGUUGUUCUCAUGGAAAUAGUAAGUGGAAGAAAAAAUAUUGACAGCUCUCAGCCUGAGGAGGAUGUCCAGCUCAUAAAUAUGUUACGAGAAAAGGCCCAAAACAACCAUUUGGUUGAUCUGAUUGACAAGCAUGGUGAGGAUAUGGUCUCACACAAGGAGGAAGUGAUUCAAAUGAUGAAACUCGCAAUAUGGUGCCUGCAACAAGACAGCAUUCGAAGGCCUUCAAUGUCAACCGUGAUCAAAGCAUUGGAAGGUGCAAUUAGCAUAGAAACUUUCGAUGCAAAUUCAGUCAUGCCUGUUCAAGAUAAUCCAUCCACAUAUUCAGUUACAUCCCAGACAUCGAUGCUAUCUGGCCCAAGGUGAAACAGAUGGUUAAUGAGCAGAAGAAAUAACUCAUGCAAUUUGUCUUUUGUAGCAUACCAUAUUUGUACUUUGGAAAGUAUAUGUUUCUGAUGAUUGUUCAUUGAAGUUGUAUGGUUGUGUGCCUUUAAAGCACGAAAUCUAGUUCUCCAUGAAGAGCGCAAUGACAGUUCGUUCUUGACUGGGCCUCCCUAGGAGGCAGAGACGCCAUGAGAAAGAACCUUUUGGCCCGGGGUUCUAAGGCCCUACUGAUUCAAAUCAAACAGAAAAAAAUAUAUACAAAAGGUUAGGACUCGGGACUAGGUAAAAGCAAGAAAAACUGCUUAGGUAUUCAGGAGGGCACAUUGAACCUUACUCAUGCAACCCUCCUCUUCUGCGACCCAUGUUAUACAGUGCGGCAAUAUAACAUUAACAUCUAACUUCUGAAGGAAAAUUGGCUACUACUCCGUUUUUUAUUAUUCUGAUGGACUGAAUCGAUGAGUUCUAUGAUUUUUCUAAGAAGGGAAGGGACUGCUUGCGAGACCAUUCAGGUGAUAAUGGAGGUGAUCCAGGAAGUAGUGUUGAUAGCAAGCUCAAGUACCCCUAAUCUUGUCAUACAUAGGAAAAACGUUCAAUACAUGCACUGAAAUAAACUUUCAUUAGUAGAGAGCAGAAUAAACAACUCACCUUCACAAGACAAAAUACUACAAACUGUGCUGUUUUUCGAUUUCGCCUAAUCUUGUCAUACCCCUAAUUUUUCUACUUCAGAUGACUGAACUGAAAACAGAUAUGCCCCCAUCGCCAAUUAAGCUAUCUAAAGACAUUACAGUUCUCCUUAACUGAAUCUAGUGUAUCUAAAAUAGACAACCGGAUAAACAGAAGCUCCAUGAAAAUAGACGUGAAAAUAACAACAGCAACACCAGAAGUACAGAGCUCACACUAUCGAUCCAUCCAUGAGCAGAAGUACUCAAAAUCCAUUUGUUAAACCUCUGUUACCGCAGAAUCCAUUCACCUGCAUGCAUGCUAAUGCACAUGAUGAUCAUCCUUGACUGAAUGAAUAUAGCGUAUCUCAAAUAGAGAACCAGGAUAAACAGACGCUCCAUCGUAACUAGACAAGAAAAUAAUAGUAGCAGGAGUGAAAGCACGGAGCUCACAUUAUCAAUCCAUCCGCGACUUGAUGGAUACGGUUAAGGUCCUGGAUGCGAAUGUUGCUAAUUAUCUAUGGUUCUUCAUGUCUCCCUUCUAUGAUAAUGUCACAGUCCGUCACGGUGCUUCCAGAACAAGUGUCUGACGAUGAAGCAUCUGUUCCUGAAGAAGGGGUUCAGUUAACUGAAGAAGGUUCAGAGAAGGAAGCUGUAAGUCAGCACCUGCUCUGUGUUCCAUUAGAAACUCUGAACCUGAGCAUAUUCCUUCAAAAGGAUGUGUUAUACUAGAUAUUAUAGUACGAAACUGAAUGUUUCUAUGCAAUCUGUUUUGUUUGGCGGAUUCAGGAGGUGUCACGACGGACACAAACGGACCACCUACACAAAGGGCGAGCCCCUUUGGAAACCAACCAUGGUGCCAGGCCAUUGGAGAACAUGCAAAAUACUCGUUUGCCCAACUUCAUUCAUGCGCAGUCAGGUUCAGUCAUUCAGAGGUGCACGCGCACACCACACGCCCACACACGCAUGCACCCACCCCCACACCCUCACACGCGCUCACACACACAUUCAUCCUCGACCCAUUCUGUCGAGGCCGCUCAUGAGGACCUCAUAGUACCGUUCAUCCUCACAGGCGCGGCGCGCUAGGCCGAAGAGCUUAUCAUUGCUGGCACGUUUCAUCCUGCGGUUCACCACGGCAGUGCAUCUGGCACUGCAGCGGCUUGGUAGUCCAGCGUGGCAUGACGUGUAGCCUUGGUAUCUCAUGCACGCCCAGGUGGAUCAUUACCUGACAAAAUUCAAAGCAUGAAGGUGUUGAAGGGUGUAUGCAAGCAAUAUGUCGCAGAUAAAGGUAGGAGCAAAAGAAUACUGCAGUAGCAAUGGAUGGAAGAUAGUAUUGAUAGAGAAUUUUUACCUUGACGGCAUGGCAGCAGAGCAACCCCGCAUGCUCAAACUGCUUGCACACGCACGUGAACACUUCGCCGUCUUCUCUAACAUUGACCUCAUAUUCCACCCUAGACCACUUCUCCCUUGCUUCAUUGCUGGGAUGCCGUGCUAUGUACCUCAGGUUGGGUAUGACUGCCUCCACCACAUAAGGUUCAGAUUUGUGUAUGGCUUGCACAAACAGUUCGUACACCGGUCUUGAUUGUGUACACCUCGCUGGCAUGCUUUUCGAUCGGCAGAUUUGUUCUCAGGACAAUCUCACCCUGCAUGGAAACAACAAUUCAUCCUAGCUUAGUCUCAGCUCAUCAUGAAGAAAAUACUUUAAUCUUAUGAAGUUAAGCUUACUGUAGUAGUCCUCUUGUCCCGAAACCCCCAGUCUGGUUCUUGAACGGACCGCAAUUCCACGUACUGUUGGAUGAAAAGCUCCAUUGAGCAAUCCCGUGGAACAUGUUGUCUCAGGAAGAGAUAAUAUGAAGGGAUUCUUUGGUUCAAAGAAAUUAAAAGCGUGCACAUUUUGAGUUAGGUACUAACUCAUGUUUACUAAUUUCUACGAACGAUGUUNNNNNNNNNNNNNNNNNNNNNNNNNNNNNNNNNNNNNNNNNNNNNNNNNNNNNNNNNNNNNNNNNNNNNNNNNNNNNNNNNNNNNNNNNNNNNNNNNNNNNNNNNNNNNNNNNNNNNNNNNNNNNNNNNNNNNNNNNNNNNNNNNNNNNNNNNNNNNNNNNNNNNNNNNNNNNNNNNNNNNNNNNNNNNNNNNNNNNNNNNNNNNNNNNNNNNNNGUUGGGGCAUGGAAGCUAAAAGAGUUUUUCUAACCCCUCGCAAAAAAAUCCUUCACAACUUGGUUUAAUGUUGUCUGCCAUUGAUGUUCGAUGAAACAAACUAUUCCUAAUCCUGCAUAAGUAACCCUUUCAGUUAGGAACUCCCAUGACAAUUCACGGGUAUAUGUAUUAGAUGUACCAACUAAAAUUUGUGGACAAAUACUUGUGAGUAUUAAUGUUCCUUCUUCUCGAACAAAAGUACUAUUUUUUUCUAAACAUCUCUAAAACCUACUUAAAAGUAUACUUAUAAGUAUAGCUUAUAAGGUGCAUUUCAUUUGAGAGAAAGGUGGGUAUGCCGGAUAUAUCCACAUUCACAUGGUUGGCGAUAUCUGUUUUUCUUUUGGUCGAUUGUUUCAGAAGUGGACGACAUCUAACAAAAUAUUUCGGGCUUAUUUGGUUCGCAUGAUUCUAUAAACACAAGAAGUGGAAAAUCACAGGUUAGAAUGACAUGGCAUAUUGAAUCCUAUAUAGGAAUAGAAAACACAUGAUUUUGUAAUCAAAAUUGUUUGGUUGCUUAGGAUUGGCAUGUCAAGUUGCUUUCUCAGACCCCAACAUAAACCACCUUAUCCUCACUUAGAUUGUUCUUUUGGAAUUUUCUACAACAGUAGGUGCAUGACAUAGUUAUCACAAAAGCAAUGAAUUUUUUUGUAGAAUUGCAUGCAAAGAGACCAUAUGGAUAGUUCCGAUGGUUUCUAAUCCUACAUACCAAACAAAGCCUACAGGAAAAUCUUCUAAGAAAUGAAACCCUCCAAAAUUUCUAUGGGGCAUAGUUGAAAUUGACCGGCGCUUCAUCAUGCAUAUUAGAUGAGGACUCCGGCAUUAGAUUUUCUUUUUGUUCAACAAAGAAAACUUACUCAAAGUACAUAUUAAUCAAACUGAUGAAACUUGAAAGGAUUAUAUUAGCAAAAGAAACAAAGAAACAAACCGCUGGACAAUAUUCUUCCUUUCUAGGCGCCAACACUGAUGGCAAGAACAAUGGAAUGGUGAUUGGAGGUUGGCUUCAACUAGUACUUGUCGUUAUGGUCCUACCGCCAUCGUCAUAGCUAUGCUCAUGAGCGUGGCAUGAUGUCUUUAGCUCUAAGAAACCACCAAUGUUGCAUUGGAACACCACACAAUCACCCUUGAUUAAGUCCUUUUGCGUCUCUCGAAGUCUUUCUAAAGUGGUCGUGGCUACACAAUUGUGCUUCUUCUUCCCCCUGCAAUUUUUUUUAUUUGCUUCCUCAUCUCCUUCACCAUUGUUUAAGAUAUCCAUUAUAUAUGGCCGGAUUCAUGUAUGAUUAUACACAACGUUACUAGCCUAGUUGAGGAAGCUCAGCUGGUAUUGUGCUUGCAUCUGAUGUUUUUUGUAUCUUUCCAGGUAGCGCAUUUGGAGAUAGAAGGCGAUGUAGUAGGAGUAGGAUAUGGUGGCGGCAGAGAAUGCGAGUUGUGGUACAACACAGAGGUUGUGCAAAAUUACAUUCGAUUAUAUCCAGGUCAUGUAUAUAUGUGCCUAUACGGUUAUCACUGUGUAGGGAUAAGGCCUAACGCUCAUACAAUCUCAAUUAUUCUAGGAUAACAAGUGUUUGGACAGAAAACCAUCACCCUUUACAAUUUUUUAAGGGUGGCUGUGUAUGGAAGCAAAUGUCAAGACUGCAUCUUAAUUUGAUACAAGAUGAAGAAUCAUUGAUCAAUUUCUUCUUUUCUCGCUCUUGCUUCUGUAUAUAACGCCAUGGCCUUGUCCAUGACCUUGGAAUCCAGUAAAAGCCGCGUUCUUUUCUUGCUGCAAGGAUGAGUAGACAUGUACUCCUUGAACGAUGAUGAAUUCCCGCCGAGCUCUCCGAGCUUCUCGUGGACCUUAGGGGCUAUGCGUGGAUCGAAACCAGCGGCAGCGAGCAGCAGGAUUCCAAUGUGAUCUGCCUCUAUCUCCAUCCUACAUAAGUAGCAUUUAUAUGUAGGUAACAUUAGCUAGCUUGUACAAGAUCAUGCAUGAAGAACAACAUUUAAAAGGAAGUUAAUAAUAUAUAAUCCUAAAUCAACAGGCUGCAUGAUACAUACUUUCGUGAGAAGGGCAGGCUGAGGAGGUAUUUGGCGAGCUUAUCAAUCAUCUUUGGCUCAUCGAUAAAGAUGCCCAGGAAAACCGUGAGCAUGAGAAUCCACAUGUGCUUGGUGAGCCCCUCUGCGGUGUGCCUUGCAAUGGCGUGCGCAACCUACAGACAAAAUUAUACAAGAUGCAAGAGGCAACCAAGUUACAAGAGAAUCCGCCGGCCGAUACGAGGCGAUACAAACGAGCACCCAAUGUGAGGUACUCCGUCUCACAAUAUAAUAAGACGUUUUUGCAAGCUAACGUACGUACCUCGUGCCCUAGCACUGCGGCGAUCUCAGCGUCGGUGCUGAACUUGUCGAGCAGCCCGGUGUAGACUAUGAUCUUGCCACCGGGCGCGCACAUGGCGUUCACCUGCUUAUUGUUGACGACGAUCACCUCCCACUUGAACCCGUCGAGGUGCUUGGUCGUCGGCUGCUGCGGCGCUCCCCAGCGAGCCUUCUUCUUGGGGCUCGGCGCCGCGUCGCCGACCCAUAUUUCGCCGUCAAGGAGCUUAUCGUCAUCGUGGACGGCGAGGCUGCGUCCGGCGGCGCGGAUGAUCUCGGAGGCGAUGCCGUGGACACGGACAAAAGCAGGGUGGGACGGAGGGAGGACCUUGUCGCCCAGCUUCUUCUUCUCCCCGGUGAAGAUCCAGUCGCCGAGCUUGAGCUCUCCCGAGUGCGUGAGGACGACGAAGUGGCGGCGGUUGGUGUAGGGCACGGUCUCGAAGGUGCCGUAGCAGAUGGUGACCGCGCCGCCGACGAUGAUGACGACCCCCGCGAAGACUAUCUGGGAUUUCACGUCGCUGGAACUUCUUGGCCGGCUGGAGGAGUAGUGCCGUGGGCGUGGGAGUGGGACCACUGGCGCAUGCGGCGACGACGGCGGUGGUCGACGCACGAGAAAGUCACGUUGGAAGAGGCGGCCAAGGCCGGCCGAUUGCAGGACCUCGUGAGAUCGCCGCGUCGACGGCGCGUGGUAGCAGCGCGGGCGCGGGGCGGUCGACGACGGCAGUGGAAGAGGCGUUCGGAUAGCGGGCUUGGACCGCAGUAGCCCGGACAGCGCGGGGCGGAGAUUCCUGAUCAAGGCGCUCAUGUUGUCCAAGUUAGAAUUGGUACGGUGGAUCUUUUCGGGGCGCCGCUCGCCGGGAUGCCUCUUGGAUCCGUAUAUAUCGUAAUAAUGUCGUCUACGUCGUGGCGCGGUCGACAGGUUGCCAUGAUUUAUUAGGGCUGCGCCAUACCUGUAGCCAUAUCCGUCUCGGUCUUGUUAUAUGUUUUGUCCAAUGUGGUACGACCUUCUUCUACAAGUACUGGAGUCUGAGGUUCAUAGGGUCUCCUCCUCCGAGUCUAGUACGGAGUACUCCCUCCGUUCCUAAUGUUUUUUUAGAGAUUUCAAAUGAAUUACCACGUACGAAUGUAUAUAGACAUAUUUUAGAGUGUAGAUUUACUCAUUUUGCUCCGUAUGUAAUCACUUGUUGAAAUCGAUAGAAAGAUAAAUAUAUAGGAAUGGAGAGAGUACUAGGGAUGCAGUUAGAUGGAUUAAUAAGCGUGCUAGGCUUAAUUUCCAUCUCAUGGACGCCCGCGGACUCGCGGACACCGUCCGCCUGCAUGCCUAUCUAGUACCAGCAGAGGGAUUGAAAUGCAAUUGGUAUAUAUAAUGUGAGACUGAAACGUGAAAUUGAAAUUGAAAUUUCUAGACCGCAUCCAUUUCAAUUUCCAGUCCACUUUCAUGUACUGCAUCCGUUUCAAUUAAUGUGAGGCCGAAACAUGCAAUUGAAAUGCCACUGUAUAUAUAAUGUGGUAAUGAAAUAUGGAAUUGGAAUUGAAAUUUCCGGACUGUGUCCAUUUCAAUUUCCAAACCAAUUUCAGUUGCACAUCCAUUUCAUCUCCCACAUAUUUUAAUUAAUGCCAGACUGAAAUGUGAAAAUUAAUUUUCACCUCACGACUAUCAAUGUGAAACUGAAAUGGCGAAAACUAAACAACUUCAAAAUUUAUCAACAUUUUAUGUUGUUUUAAUGAUCUCGUCGCCACGGAUUCAAAUAUAAAAAAAUUGGAGAUGGAAUUUUGGUUUAGAAGAUAUGAGUGAUUUACAACGUCACUCACUGUGAAAUAAAAGGGUUGGCUUUUGUAUGGGAGACAAAGGAUAUAAAACAUGCAUGCACCAUCCUUCUCUGCGCUCUCUCUUUCUCUUUCCUGACAAGAUGAAAAAAAUCUCAUAUACAUGCAAAGAUCCCUAAAAAGUGUUGAACGAUGGAUGCUUUCCCUGUACAUACAUGCUCCGCUAGAAAAUGUAAUUUGUUUUCUUCAACUUACCCUCCCUCCUUAGGCAGUUGAAGCACACCCCCAUCCUCUCUACCGCAACCUCACGACACACUGAAGGGUUAGCGGCCUCCUGACGUUGUUUCUGAAGUUGCUGGACACAGCGGCUACACCACAUGGCCCUUCGCCAAGGCCGAGGGUUUCCCUAUUUGACAUGCCAAAUAGCGGUGGACCUCAAAAUCAGCUUAGCGGGCUAUAGCAGGCUAUUUGUACAUAAGAUCAUUUAGCGGCACCCUGUCAAAAAGGCUUUAAAACUAUGCAUGCAACCUUUAAUGUUUUCUUCACACGCAAAUGUAGCAUUUGUGAGUGGUGUCCAUGAUGUAUGGACAUGCUCUAAGAAAAAUACACACGACAAAAGUUUCAUCUGAUCAAUUCUUAUUGUUAGUGGAGUGAUGAUGCUAUGUGAAGUGUUCAAAUGACUAUGUUCAAUUUAGAGGUUUGUUCCUGCUAACGAAAUGUAUUGUUUAUGGAUAUUCAUUUGAUUAGUUCACGAGUAAAUGUUUAAGUAUAGAUGUACAACACUAACAUGGUCUUGUGCUCAAACUGAAUCGUAUUUGUUUUGUGUGAUCUUUUCAGCACAUGAAGCUCGAUGAGCAAGAAGCACUAUAACCGGAGGUAGAUUUUUUUAUAGCAAUGGUUGUUCAAUGGUGAUCAUUUCAGUCCAUUUCCAGUCUUGUUGGUCAUGUACUAGAAAUGAUCCUAUCAUGCAAUGUAUCACUGGAUAUGUAUGUGUGUCUCUUGUGUAUGCCCAGGAUGCUCCAUAUUGACAAGUACUCAGAUUGUGUGCAUGGGAUGUCCCUGUUUGACAUGUACUCAAAUAUGUGUACAAGAGAUGGCUCAGUUUGACAUGUACUCAAAUUUUUACCCAUAUGUGUGUGCAUGGGAUGGUCUAGCUUGACAUGUACCCAUAUAUUUGUGCCUGGGAUGGUCUAGCUUGACAUGUACUCAAAUAUUUGUGCCCAGGAUGGUCUAGUUUGAGAUGUAACUGAAGGGGAUGGCUCGAUUUUCUCAGCACACAAUAUCUGUGAUAGAUAUUGAGAUACUUUUUGUUGACCGAUGUGUUCAGUUUUCUUGUAUAAUUAGUGAUGGGAUAGAACAGAGGAGGCAUCAACGCUGUCAGGAUUUGAAAAAUACUCUUAUUUAUUAAUGACAAAAUGAUGGGAUACGAGAAAGGUGAGGUGGUUACUGUAAAAGUCAAGUUCUAUGCCAUUGUCAGGUUUUUUUCAUAAAAUGUACAUCAGGCUGGCCAUAGUGGGAGUAACAUAACCGGUAACAUGCACUUGGGACUAGCAAACAUACUUAUGUGGCACACAAUUAAAUAAGAAAGAGAGGGUUAGAGUAACAUAAAUAGAUACCGUAUCAUGUUAAAUGUUAUGCUACUUUGUGUCAUGCAUGACAAUAAAUAUGGUCAACUAUGAUACUAUUUUAUGAUACUAUGCACUAUAAAGGUAGUAUCAUAUGCAUGAUAUUAGUAUAUGUUACUCCCCACUAGCCUCAUGUCGCCUGUGAUAUCUCCACCUGGAUCUGGGCCACUCAUCUCCAACUCCAAUCCAAUGUUCCAUGUUCCUUUUUCUAUUUUUUGCACCCAAUGCCCGGAUUCUAUAUACUAAUCCCUCCCGUAUAUAUGUGCCUAUACGGUGAUCAUGUGUAGGGAUAAGGCCUAACUGCUCAUAUAAUCUCAAUUAUUAUUUUAAGAUAAUAUAAAUGUUUGGACAAAAAAAUCCUUUACAAGUUUUUAAAGGGGGUGCACGGAGGCAAAUGUCUCGAAUGUGUGUUGAUAAAAAAGAUGACGAAUAAUCAUUGAUCAAUUUCAUCUUUUCUGGCUCUUGCUUCUGUAUAUAACGCCAUGGCCUUGUCCAUGACCUUGGCAUCCAAUAGAAGCUGCGUUCUUUUCUUGCUGCAAGGAUGAGUAGACAUGUACUCUUUCAACGGUGAUGAAUUCCCACCGACCUUUCCGAGCUUCUCGUAGACCUUAGGAGCAAUGCGUGGAUCAAAACCAGCGGAAGCGAGCAGCAUGAUUCCAAUGUGAUCCGCCUCUAUCUCCAUCCUACAUAGGAUAUAUAGGCGACAUGUAUUUAUCAUGCAUGGAGAAUAACUUUUACAGGGAAAAAUAGUUGUAAAUCAGCAUGAACGAUAUAUAUGAUGUGAAACCGAGUAUAUACUUUCGUGAGAAAGGCAGGCUGAGGAGGUAUUCGGUCAGCUUAUCAAUAAGGUCCGGCGAAUCGAUAAAGAUGAGCAGGAAAACCGUGAGCAUGAAAAUCCACAUGUGCUUGGUGAGCUUCUCUGCAGCGUGCCUUGCAAUGGCGUGCGCAACCUACAAGCAAAAUUAUACAAGAUGCCAAAUUACAAGGGAAUCCACCGUCCGGCCGGCUGCUAGGAGACGGUACAAAUAACCACCCAAUAUAAUCUAGCUAGCACGGUACAUACAUACCUCGUGCCCUAGCACCGCGGCGAUCUCAGCGUCGGUGUUGAACUUGUCGAGCAGACCGGUGUAGACUAUGAUCUUGCCACCGGGUGCGCACAUGGCGUUCACUUGCUUAUUGUCGACCACGAUCACCUCCCACUUGAACCCGUCGAGAUGCUUGGUCGUCGGCUGUCGAGCCUUCUUCUUCUUGGGGCUCGGCGCCGCGUCCCCGACACAUGUUUCUUGGUCAAGGAGGCGCUUAUCGUUGCCUUGGCCAGUGGCAAGGGUGCGGCCUGCGGCGCGUAUGACCUCCGUGGCGAUGGCGUUGACGCGGACGAAGUUGGGGUGGGAGGGAGGGAGGACCUUGUCGCCCAGCUCCUUCUUCUCGUUGUUGAACUGCGACUCGCCGAGCUCAAGCUCUCCCGAGUGCGUGAGGACGACGAAGUGGCGGCGGUUUGUGUAGGGCACGGUCUCGAAGGUGCCGUAGCAGAUCGUGACCACCACACCGCCGACGAUGACGACCCCCGCGAUGACUAUCUGGACUUUCACCUCGUUAGAACUUCUUGGUCGCCUGGAGGAGUAGUACCGUGGGCGUGGGACCGCUGGUGCCUGCGGCGACGGCGGUGGUCGACGGACGAGAGAGUCACGGCCGGGCGAUUUCAGGGCCUUGUGAGAUCGCCGUGUUGACGGCGCGUGGUAGUAGCGCCUGGCGGUGGGCGGCGGCGGAACAGUCCUUCGGGCGGCAGGCUUGGGCCGGAGUAGCCCGGACAGCGCGGGGCGCAGAUUCCUCAUCAAGGCGCUCAUGUUCUCUCAGCUAGUCUUGGGGAUGGGCGCUCUUGGAUCCGUAUCGUCUUGGGAAUAAUCUACGUCGUGGCAGUUCGACAGGUUGCCAUGGUUUAUUAGGGUUGCGAUCUCGGUCAAGUCUGCGAUCAGCAAUGCUACAUCGACGGAGAUUUACAGAGUUUUACAAGGUGAGAUUGAGCUGGCAAUUUGUGAUUGGACUAAGGGGAGGGAGGGGCCUCACCCACCUGAAAAUCAGGGGGGGGAGGGGGGGGCAUGUUUAGUUGGUUAGAAAGGAGCGUGUAAAGGCAUGUAAGACCCCGUACUUUUAGCAUUUUUGGUCUGCGAUCGAGGGAGAUUAAGUUGUUAAGUUUUCCUUUGUCAAAAAAAAAGUCGUUAAGUUUUCUCGCAUAGGAAGGAGUCUCUCCUCCGAUUCUAGCUAGCUAGUACCAUAGGAGUCAAAAUUUCAACCAAAAUCAGAAAUUCCGGUGAUUUCGGUCGGCGUCAAAAUAUACGUAGCCUUGGAAUUUUGAGCCAACUUUAAACUAAUUUCAACCCAAAUUCAAAUUCAAUCAAAAUCCAUUUAAAUUAUGUGAAUUUCGAUACAUGGAAUCCCCCCCCCCCCAAAAAAAAUCUCUGAAAUUUCGAAACUUGGGUGAGGUCCGAUUUUUUUUCUUACUGGAUUUUUCAACCUUCACUACCGAAAAAAUGUUUUACUCCAAGUGCGUGGCAGCUCGCCGAGUUCUUUUCCGCGGGCACUCGUCAAAUAAGUACUCCCUCCAUCCUAAAGUAAGUGACUCAGCUUUGUAUUAAUUUUAGUAUAAAAUCGAGUCAUUUAUUUUUGGACAGAGGGAGUAUUUGCUUAUUUGGCGAGUGCUUCCCAAAAUAAACCCGGCAAAAGUAAGACACUUGGAACCUACCAAGUGUUGCCAGGUACGCCACCAAAUACACUUAGCAAUGGACUAACAAUCUGCAAAGUACGUGAAAAAUGUAGCAGCCCUACUUAAUGGUAAUGUAUCCUAUAUAUACCUUUUUUUUGCGGGAACCCUAUAUAUACCUAAAAGAGGAGCCAAAGUCUUUUCUAGCGGAGCAUGUACCGGGUAAACAUCGGAUUCGGCUUGCCUGCUCCCUUCCUGUGCUCCCAUCCGUGCUCCCACUUCAUCCUACAACUGUUUUUUUUUUCCUUUUUUCUUUCCANNNNNNNNNNNNNNNNNNNNNNNNNNNNNNNNNNNNNNNNNNNNNNNNNNNNNNNNNNNNNNNNNNNNNNNNNNNNNNNNNNNNNNNNNNNNNNNNNNNNNNNNNNNNNNNNNNNNNNNNNNNNNNNNNNNNNNNNNNNNNNNNNNNNNNNNNNNNNNNNNNNNNNNNNNNNNNNNNNNNNNNNNNNNNNNNNNNNNNNNNNNNNNNNNNNNNNNNNNNNNNNNNNNNNNNNNNNNNNNNNNNNNNNNNNNNNNAAUCAAAUCAAGCCACGUAGACGGGAGCACGGAUGGGCACACGAUGAGGGAGCAGGCAAGUCUCGUCCGGUAAACAUCUGCCUUUCAUUAGCUUCAAGGUCCUUGCUUUUUGGACUCAUAUGCUUGUGGAUUUGCUUUGCCUUUUACGUGGUAUAGAAAAUGAAUGUCACAUAAGAGGAGGGUCCCAUCUCCUUUUGUGCCAGAGAGAAGGACGUAAUGUGCAUGGAUGACUCUGCCAUUAUCCAUCCCUCUCCCAUGGAAAAUUGUAGCAUUAAUUUUCUUUGUGUUUUCCGCAUCUGUUAAACCAGAAUUUGUUUUUUGAUUUUUUUAAUAUUUGGAAUCUGGAACUGUAGAUAUAAUGCGGACCGAAAUAUGAAAUUGAAAUGCAACUAUAUAUAUAAUGUGGGAUAAAAAUAUGAAAUUAAAAUUGAAAUUUCUAGACCGCGUCCAUUUGAAUUUCCAAACCAAUUUCAGUACCACGUCCAUUUCAUCUCCCACAUAUUUUAAUUAAUGCGAGGUUGAAAUAUGAAAAUGAAUUUUCACCUCACUAUAUUGUUCAGCCGUGUACCUUGGUCUAUGCUUUAUCUAUAAGAGGACCCGGUGACCCAUGUGGGUAGGGGACAGAACAAGGUAGCUCACACACUUGCUCAAAUGGGUAGAUUAUCUACUCGUACGACUUGUUUGACGUAUAAAUUUAUUGCCUAGUCUCUUUCAUCAGAUCGGUCUUUUAGUUGCAUUAGCUAGAGCAUGCACUUUUACAUGGUAUUAGAGCCAAGAGGUCUUGAGUUCAAGACCCGGCUGGCGCAAUUAAAUUGUAGCCCACUUUCGAUUCACGUUUAGGCCGGAAGAAGCCACACAUGAGGAGUGUUGACGUAUAAAUGUAUUGCCUAGUCUCUUCCAUGAGGUCGGCCGUUUGGUUGCGUUGACUAAAGCUUCUACUGAACCAGAUGAGAUUAGCAAUCUUUGUCAAGAGGAUUGUAAAGAACCACCUUGGUUAAUGAAAUUCUAUAUUUACGCAAAAAAGAAAACCAUUCAUCUAAUGUGUAACUUUGUGAGGAAUAGCAUCAAGAACAACAUCAAGAUCAUCACAAGGCUCGGAGGUGAAACGAUUAUCGAACUGUUGAACCAUACCUUUGAUUUCGCCUUGUGAGUCGCAAGAAGAACCAUCAUCACGCAGUAGAGGAUCAAGUAUUGGAGUUAAUCACGACAUGUAAUUCUGUGGCCGGCUUGGACUAGGAGACAGUAAUCGUGUAGAAAUAGUAUUGGCUAAGUUAACUAAUACUACUACUUGAAAUAGUAUUGGCCAUUUCCAAAAAACUAAUACUACUACUUGAAGCUUAUUUUCACUCGAAAGGAAAACACGAUAGUCCAGUCCAGUCCAGAGGCACGGCCCAAGCCCGCACCUUUCCCCUCCUCUCCCAAGGAAAUCUCCAAGCCCUAGUGCCUUCCCCGUCAUGGCGGCCGGACCACAGCGCUCCUCCCCUCCUCCGCCGCCACCCAUGCCGCCUGGACGCCGCCACCGCGACGACCAACCAGAGCGCUGCGUUGAAGACUCUGACUCCAAACGCCCCGAGGAAGAUCAACAAACAGCCACUCCAAACCCUGGACCAUCCCCAGCGCAAUACACCGAUGAAGAUCAGCCUGCCUGCACCUCAACAAACGCCCACUUCUAACCCUGGACCCUCCCCAGCGCAUGAUUUGCAGCUGGCUCAAAGGUAUGUGCUUUUUAUCGGAGCUAUUUGUGCCAAUGCCGCUGAAACCAUCACGCAUGGCAUGAAUUGAAAAAAAAAAAACUCAAGUUGGCGUUACAUCCGUACUGGCCGAUGGCGGCGGCGGCCGUGGACAUCGUUUCCUUCAUGAAGGCGCCAUGGCGGUGCUCCGGCCCCUCUCAUGUGACUCCGGGUGAAAACUUGAUCUACGGAUCGGAUAGUGGCGGCUUUCCGUAGGUGUCCCCUUCUAGGAGGCACUGUCUUGGAGUCCCUGCUCGGUCAUGGACCGUCUCACCCCUCCUCGUUUCUUCGUUGAUGUCUCCGUCCUCUCCAAGUGGUUAUCCUUCGUCAUCUUUAGUUUGCUUGGUAGGCGAUGGCAUUGAGGGACGGUUUCCGACACCUUUGUAUCUUGUCUUGGGUGUGUGGGUUGUGUGCGGUGGUGAUGUGUGUUGUAUCGGUUUGUCCAGAUGUUUGUGAUGAUAGUUGCUUUAUAAUAUAAAGCGGGAAAACCCUUUUUCGGUUGAUGAGAUACAUGCAUAGCUGCCACCAACCAUCAUUCAUCAAUGGACACGGGUUUCCAAUAAAACAGUGCAUAGCUAGCUGCCAUCAUCCAUCGAUGGACGGGUUUCAGCUCGAUUGAUGGUUUCGAAUUGGUUCAACUACUUGGAUAUUGGAGCGGGUGAACUUAUUUUGCAAUGCAUGAAUUAGCUAGCAAAGUUUGUUCGUGUCCCACUUUAUUUCAUAUUUCUGCUGAUCUUAGGUGAAAUCAAACUUUUUGUGUUCCACUUCAGGUGUGAGGUGACAGACAUCUUGGAAGAAUUGGAGCUCAACGCUACUCCCUCGUUGUCUUCAUGCGUUUCUUCUUUGACGCCUACUGGUUUACUUAUUAAAUAUAUUGUCAGAGUUGAUAAGGAGGAUUUUUUUUCAUAUAUAUCCUGAUCGAGGUGGACCAUUUCAGAGUUUACAGGAAGCUCAGCAAGCUAUUGACUCGUAUCAUGUUGUCGGGCGAAAAAACUUGUAAAGCCUAUCAAUUUCCUUAUAUUAGAUUUCUAUUUCUGUCUCUGUGUGUGUUCUCACUUAGAUAACGGGGCUACAUUAAUAUUAAUGUUUUGGGUACUUCUAAAAGUUAAGGGAUGUUUUCUGUUACUGUUGUAAAAAAGUUGAAACAGUAAGCAGAUCUGAAAAUUCAGAAGAUAUAUUUUUAACCCGACUCUUAAUUUGUACAAUUGGGUAGCUAAUAAAUAGCCUUCCCACGUUCCCAUGAUAAAGAUGGCGCUAGCUAGAACAAUGUGUUUUUAGCUAGACACACUUAUUUGGGGAUCCAGAAACAAAAGAUUGAUUUUACUUUUCACGGAAAAAAAUGCGCUGAGAACUUAGUCUUCUAAGCAUGUAGGUAGUUCAGUUUUGUUUUGCCUUUUGUUGCUUAUUACUACGCAGCAUGAGUUGUGUCAUUAGCAGUGCUCUAUAUGUCAACUAGGUGCAUGGAUGGACUUUCAUCUCAUGAUGGCACAAGGAGAAAUUCUGCAGAAGCCUUUGCUGCCAUGAAGACCCGUCGCCCUGUCCGAGAAGUUGUUAAAGCUCUAUUGGACAAGUACAACGAGGACAAUGGUCGUUUGGGGAUAUGCUCUAUCCCUCGCCUACUCUCUCUUGACUUUCUUGUUUGCAUGAUUCAAGUGCCAUCAUAUUCAUGUCCUUACUCCGUACUCAAUUUUAGGAUCUUGCAUAUGAACUAGAAGAAAUAGUGAGAUAUAAACCAUGUUUUGACGGAAAAGGCUGUCCUUACUCCGUCAAAACAUGGUUUAUAUCUUCUUAGCAUAUUUCUCUUAUAUUCAGUGUACAGCCGCAGUGACGGAAAAUAAGAGAAUAUAUUCAGUGUACAUAAGAGGAUCUUGCAUAUGAACUAGAAGAAAUGCGCUGUACACUGAAUAUAAGAGAAUAUAUUUUCAUAGCUUCUUAGCACAUUUCUCUUAUAUUCAGUGUACAGCCGCACUGGGCUGCUUGCAGUGGCUCCAAACCCCUUCUGGUGACGCAGCACUCAGGGUGGACGACACGAGCGGGCUUUUUGGCCCGCUCGUGGCCCGCUCGGUCCCGCCCAGCUCGGUCCUGGCCUGCUUGAAAAAACACCCGGUCCGGUCUGCGAAAUAUGGGCCGAAAAAUCUUCGAUCCUGUCCGGUUAAAGCCCGGCCCGCUCGGUCGGACCGAAGAAGAAGCACAAGCAGAUCGUGCUCAUCCGGUCAUCCGCCUCCUUCACGCGACGGCGGAAGAGAUAGAUGAAGACCCACAUUACGCGCUGCCUUCUUUUCCUUUUACUCAGUCGAGAGAAAAUAGAAAGAACGAGAUUCACGCUGCCACAGCGCCAUCCCACGAUUAUUUGUUGCUACAAAUAACUGCCCACGGAAAUCUCUCCGUUUGUUUUCAGUCUCAUCUAAUAACAGCCAUCCAUGAUUCACGCUGGUUUUUCCUUUUAAUUUUCAGUCUAAAUCUCUCUAUUUGUUUUGUAUAUGGACUCCACCCGUUGUUUCCUUUUAAUCGCGACUAACGAAAGGAAUAGGUUCGAUCCGAGAAUCACCAUGCCAUCCGCAAUUAACUCCACGUCCAAUUUGAUCCACACAUGACGGCAAGGCUGUACACGCAUAAUCAUGGGCACAUGCACGUGAUAGAUAGAUUGCAUGCAACUGCGAAAACUGCUAAGUAAUAUACAUGCGCACGUCGUCUGCCUCUACCCGCCUGCUCUCGCGCACGUCUUCCACCUCGCCACAACAACCCCCUCUUCCUCGCGACUCUCUCUCCCCUGCGCGGCUACGCCUCUCCCUCUCUCGCCACAAUCAAAAGUCACUAAGCCAUCAAUGAUACACCAUUCAAAAGAGCAUCAAUAAUUAUUGCGGUGCGUAUGCACAAAUGGAAAACCGCUGGCAAAAUGGGAUGUCACACCUUGAGCUCGUAAGUUUUGCAUCGUGUUGGUCAUUUGAUUGAUUUACUCUAUGUUGCAUCAUGUGUCUCGUAAAUUUUGCAUCAUAUUGCUCUCGCUUUGCUAUCCGCGCCACACAGUCGCACUGUACUUGUACCACUAGACCGAGGGCAAGCCAUUCACGAUUAUGCAUUGUUAGUACAAGCUGAAUGCAAAAAGCCAGUGGGGCAACAUUACCAAUUCUGUCAAGGCCACCAAUGCCAAAGCAAACGACGAAUGUGGUUAUGCAAGCAGUUGAGUUCGAGGAGGGCUUGAAGCGAGAAGGGGUAGCAGCCAAGAUGAUCGGGAAGUUCGAGGACAUCAUGGCGAAGAAGGGGGAGACAUGUACCAAGCGCAAUGAGAUCAAGGAGGAAAGGAGAGCGUAGAGUUUUAGCUUCUUCAUGGAAAUCCAAAAGAAGAAGAUUGAGAUCGAGGUGAGGAGGCUUGCGAUUAGGAAAGCAUGUGAGAAGCAAAAGAACUUGUACCUUAAGGCCUGCUACUUGUAUCCCAAUGCGGCCAAGUUUAUUCAUGACUUGUCUGAUAGCAUGUACGCACGCUUUGCACAAAAGGAGGGGGAGGCCGAAAAUAGAGGCAUUUGGUGUGGACAUCUGGGUCAUUUGCUUUUGGUUCGAUGGACUUAUAAAGCCAAUUGAAGAACAUUGGUGCUUUUGCUAUUAGUUACAUUUGUUUGCAACGGUUUAAAUAUAUAGUCAAAUUUUUAUUGAUCUACAAACUUUGGAAAAAGAUUAGAGGUUGGAUAAGUAGAGGAAAUUUUGCAGACAUGGGUGGAUGUCCCGGCCGAAUGUCGAUUGACAUAAAUCCGCGGACAUUUUUUUCUUUUUGGGAAAAACUUUCGAUGUAUUCAUCAAACAUUAUGGCAGUACAAAGAACAUCAUAAGUAAUAAAAAUUACAUUCAUAUACGUAGACCACCUAGCCUGACGGCUACAAGCACUGUAGUGAGCCUUAAGCGUGUCGUCGAAAUCAACCCUCCCUUACUGGAGUUGGGCAAACCUUAUUAUAGUAGACAGUCAGAAAGUCGUCGUGCUAAGGCCCCAAAAGAUCAACACACCAAAACAACACCCGAGGCCGAUGAAGAAGAUCAGAAGGAUUCAAUCUGUAGACAUAAGAAGGCAGACGAACGAAGACUAGAUCCAUGCAGAUAUAACAUAGACAAACACCGACCAAAUUCCACAGCGGAGACACAUCUCCAUGCGCCCUCUGACAACCCAAGACGCACCAACGGAAUGGAGACUAGGCAUUGGAGAUGCCCUAAGUGUGGGACAAAAACGUGAAUUCCUCUUCAAUAAUUUUAAAAGGACUAUAUGAUGCCGUCUGCCUCUAUGCAAUUGAAAUAUAAUUUCCUUUGUGUUCUUAAUUAGUAGCAAAGUGCCCAAAAUCUUCUGCUGUAUUUAUUAAGAGUGUGGUUUGACUGAUUGUCAUUCCUAUAUAUAGAUCUACUACAAACCUGAGCGAUAGUACCCAGCUAAUUAACCGGCCCGUACUACAGAUAAUUUGCGGAGUUAAAAUUCACUACCCAUGCUGCAUCAUGUUAGAUGCGAUGAAUCAUGUGACUUGUGGUUUUGAGCAAAGAAACUGUGACUUGAAAGUACAGGUCCUGAUCAAUCCAAUGAAUCUUGGCAGGAGAACAAACAAUGAAAAUCAUAUAGAAAGACAAAAUUUAUUAUCCAAAAUGACAUAGUAUUUUCUUUCACAAGGGACAUCAAAAUGCGAUGAAAGAGAAAUAAUAUGCUACUAGUAUAUAUUGUAGGCCGUCCUGCAUGCAUUGCUGCAGACAAGAUAUUCAUGCAUCAAUUGGCAGCGUCAUCCCAUGCGUUUCUGGGCCAAACACCACUGGAUGAAUUCAUUGUCAUCCGGGCGACGAAGGCCAUGGGAGCGACGGGGCGAGCAUGGCUUCAAAUCAUACUCGUCAUCGUCGUCAUCGUAGGCGAGACAUAAGGUAUCCAGGAUCGUGAAGCUGCCAACGUCGCAGCGGAACACCACGCAGUCGUCCUUGAGCAGGUCCUCACGCCUCUCCAGGUCUUCCCUACGGAUGAAGUGCUCGCAGCCGCAGCCGCCGGCGCCGCUCCCAUACCCGAAGUCGCCGGUCUUCGCGGGGAGCCCGUAAGCGACAUUGCCGGCCUGGUCGAGGAUGCUCAUCUUGUACUGCACUUGCAGGUGAGGCUGGCUCAACAGCUGGAGGUAGAGGGAGAUGUAGUCGGAGUUGGUGGAGCUGUCGCGGCCGUUGGGGUAGUACUUGACGCGCCAAUUUAUCCCGCAAUACCGAGGCCCGCCGAUGGAGAAGGAAGGGGACGUGAUGCACUCGCCGCGGAGCAAGUGGUACCCGCUCGUCACCUUGCUAACGAUGCGGGACGCUGAGCGGGAGAGCCGCCCAACGCCGGCGGUGACGGACAGCAACGACGCGGUCGUCAACUCGUCAUGGCGAUCGAGCUGAUGAUGAUGGCUACGUACGUACGUAGAAAUUAAGACCGGUGCAGAUGGUGAGAUGGAUAUUCUUGAUUGCUGGUGUAUAUAUGGUAGUAUACGGAAAGUUGGCAAGAAAAUCUUUUUAGGAAACAAAUGGAAUUGUAGUAUAUGCAUUUCUUGGGCUCCAAUUUAUGUAUCAAUAAUAACUGAGUGGAUUCAGCCAUAUGUACCCGAUUUGUUUCUUCCGUUCCCGCCAAUUAUAGAUAUGGAUAGGAACAUUCCCACGACUAACGUAUAUCAAUUUAUUGUGUUUUACUCACGAGCGGGUUGUUUGGGUUUCCUAGAACCCUAGCUCACCCCCAGCGCUCUCUCUCUCUCUCUCUCUCUCUGGCACAAACCGAUAAAGAAGAAAGGAGGAAGGGGGGACUGGACAUGGUGGUUCCGGCGGCAACGGCAUGAGCUCGAACUCAACCCACACUGCGUUACGACGAACCCCACACGGGCUUUAUACCCUGGGCCGACGCCGACGAACCUUGAGACUGUCCCACACGUCCCUCGUCGUCAUCUUCUUCGCGACCUCCAUCAGGACGUCCUCCGACAGUGCGCCCAGCAGCAGAGCCUGCGCCGUCUUGCUCUUCUUGGCAUCGAUCACCGCGCCAUCCGCCGGAACCACCACGCCCCACAGCCUCUACGCAUCAAAGAUCGCCUCCACCGGCGUGAAAAUAAUAGUGCUCUUCAGUUACAGAGAAAGGAUUGUCGAUGUAGGUUCUGAUUGGACAUUUAGUAGAAAACAAGCUGUAUAUGUUUACAUGAUUAGCGUAGGUACGCACGCAACAUAGGAAAAAAUUCAGGCAAACAAGCAAAUGUGUUGUUAUGGGUAGGAAGUCCGGCUUGCAAAGGAGCGAGAGUGCAAACAAGGUGCAAAUAAAUGUUGAGAAAAAAAUCUAAAUAAUCUAAUAAUCAUGCAAAUUAUGUAGCUAUUUGGGUUUACUUCCAUGGUAUUAAAAUCUAAAUCCUUGGUAUUUGUAUUGAAAAAUCUAAAUCAUGAAUUUGGUUGGUGCAAACUAAUUCGUGAUAAUUUAUAUUUUUGUAGUCAUUUUCAAUUUCGAUGGUGGAAACGAGUUAAGGAUAAGUUGUAGGAACGCCUCAAACUUGUUUUAGAAGCAUUAAAAAGAGCUGAUGAUUAGAGGUACUGCAUCAUUUGCCUUUGGUUAGUUUACUGAACACUUUGCAGAUAAAAAUUAUCUCACUGUGAGUUGUUCCUAAAUAUAAGUCUUUUUAGUGAUUUCAAUAUAGACUACAUAGGGAGCAAAAGACUCACUCAUUUUGCUCCGUAUGUAGUCUAUAUUGAAAUCUCUAAAAAGACUUAUACUCAAGAAAUUAUCUCACUAUGUAGUCUACAUACGGAGUAUUUAGGAAUGGAGGGAGUAAUAUUUUUGAAUGGGAGAAAAGAAGAAAGGUGAAAAAUGAUUGAAGAAAAAUAUAUUUCUUUUUAAUACUGCUGUCUAGUCUCUGCCAAUAAUAUGUCAACUUAUGACCUUCUGUCAGUGACCCUCGAAGAAUUGGUCAUAAAUGUAUGACCAUUUUAGACCAAUUGGUCAAAAGCUGUUCCGGGGACUCCAAACCCUAAACCAUUGUGACCAUUUUGGUCAGAAAGGUCGUAAUUUCCUUACACGAAAUGGUCACAAAGCAAACAGUGCUAGUCCGCUGCCUUAUUUCUAGUUAUUAAUGACCAAUAUAGAUGGUCAUAGCCUUGUAGAUUGUGGUGGGUUGUGAUGACUAGACGCCAUCUCAUCAGUUUUGCCUAUGUGUCAUGUCCAUGUGGCAGUUUUUGCCCUAGGUUGUGAAGCAACCUAUAUUUCUAUCAUUCCCAAAAUUCCCAAAAAAAUUUCAUAAAUUCUUUGGGGCAUAUCUUCAUCAAAUAUGUAAAAAUCCUUCCUUGCCUAGUUCAAAACUAAUUCAACAAUAUCCAUUUUCCUAUUCUAUUCACAACAACACUUUAUGAAGGAAGUGCUAUUUAUAUAUUCUUGAUUGCCCUCAGAAUUUUUGGGCACUCUUUCCUAUCCAAAUCAUUACCGCAUGACAAAAUUCAGCUCCAUUUGCCUAGCAAAUCUUUCUCGGCAAAUUUUUAAAGUUUUUGUCCACCUAGAAGCAUUGUGAAGGAAGUACCUUUUUUAUAUCUCUAAAUUACAUGAAAUGUAUACAGUUCCUUCAUAUGCCCAAAUUAUCAUCCUCCUCCAAAUUGCAGCUCAGUAAAAUCAUCUAUGUGAGCCCAGGUUCAAUUUAUAUUUUAUGACCAAAUUGGCACGUUGCAAAGCAAGUGUUAUAUAGACCCCUCCUAUUACCCUCAAACUUUUCGGGCACUCUUCCAUACCCAAAUCAUUGCCACAUGGUAAUAUUCAGCUCAAUUUUCCUAGUAAACCUUUCUCGGGAAAUUUCCAAGUUUCUGUCCAUAGAAGAGCAUUGUGAAGGAAGUACUACUUUGGCAUGUCCAAAUGGUAUCAAUUUUCUACAAUGCUUUCCUAUGCCUAAAUAACCAUCCUCCACAAAAUUUCAGCUCACUCCAUUCAUUAUUUUGAGCCCAGCUUCAACAUUCAUAUUUUUGUCCAGCGUGGUACUUUGCAAAGCAAGUACCACCUAGAAUCCUCCUUUUGAGCUAAAAAUUUGUGAAGACAUUCUCCUUAGUAGAUGAUCAUCCUCAGCCAAAACUCACGCCCAUUGGCCAUGUGCAUUUCCCGUACCGCUAAUCAAACACUUGGCUGCUAAUUCAUGUUUGAGCAUCGAUCGGUCUCCUCGUGAGAAUCUUAUGUUGUAAUUUCCUUCCUAGCACCAACCUGGGGAGUUCCCAACCCACUAGACAUGCCUAGGCCACCCAGAACACAUGGCAACAUUACGGUCACGCGGUGACCAUGCAACGGGCAUGCGAGUUUACGCGCUCUAGAGUUGGGGCCGUCGGCCACCGCCCAAACCUCGAUGUAUCGCCACCAAACCAUGUAUUUAUGAUUAAAUAGGUCCUUAUGUAACUAUAAAUGAUUUUUGGAAAAAAUAAAUAGCAAACUAUGAGGCAGCUGCAGUUCAAAUUUAACAUCUUCCACCUGAAUCAGCGGAAAUUUGUCUUUUUCACGAGAGGUGGAUCAAAAAAAAUUACACCCAACUAUUUUGUCAAAUUGUGCAUUAAAUAUGGCCUAGUAUUUUAUAAAAAUGAUUUGGUCCAAUUUUGCAACAAUUAUUUGGUAGUUCCUUCACAAAAAAACCUCCUUUCGGGCACUCGAAAAACGGAAAAUGGUUUUUUCGUCCAACGAAAAUGAAAACUUCCUUAGGCAACAUUGUUUGCCAUUCCAAUAUGCACUCUUGUGCACAAUAUGAGAUCAUUUGAACAAACUAUGCCAUGAAUGUGGCCAUAAGAUUGAUCAUUUGGCUUGAAAGCCAUUGAUCUCCACACAUGAUAUCUCGUUUCUGAGAACACUUUUUUAAAAUAAUUGCCAUAUUACAAGUUUGUUAUUUUUCCUAGGAACUUGGCCACAUAUGAUGACACAAUGCGAUGGUUUCCCAAUUUUUUGAUUUUUUUUGAAUUUUUUAUGCCCGUUUCAAAAUGCGGUCAAAACGGCGGGAAUGACCGUUCCUAGCUAGUGGUUGAAUCUUGGAAUUUUGUUGGUGUUUCUCUGAUUAAAAAGAUACUUAUGUACCUAGAAAUGAUUUUUAGAAAAAAUAAAUAGCAAACUAUGAGGCAGCUACAGUUCAAAUUUGACCCACUCCCAACUGAAUCGGCGGAAAUUUGUCUUUUUCACGAGAGGAGGAUCAAAACUUUUUACACCCAACCAUUUUGUCAAUUGUGCAUUAAAUAUGGCCUAGUAUUUUAUAAAAUUGAUUUGGUCCAAUUUUGUAACAAUUAUUUGGUAGUUCCUUCACAAAAAAACCUCCUUUUGGGCACUCGAAAAAUGGAAAAUGGUUUUUUCGUCCAAAGAAAAUGAAAACUUCCUUAGGCAACAUUGUUUGCCAUUCCAAUAUGCACCCUUUUGCAAAAUAUGAGAUCAUUUGAGCAAACUAUGCCAUGAAUGUGGCCAUAAGAUUGAUCAUUUGGCUUGAAAGUCAUUGAUCUCCACACAUGAUAGCUCGUUUCUGAGAACACUUUUUUAAAAUAAUUGCCGCAUUACAAGUUUGUUAUUUUUCCUAGGAACUUGGCCACAUAUGACACAAUACGAAGGUUUCCCAAUUUUUUGAUUUUUUUGAAUUUUUUAUGCCCGUUUCAAAAUGCAGUCAAAACGGCGGGAAUGACCGUUCCUAGUUAGUGAUUGAAUCUUGGAAUUUUUUGGUGUUUAUCUGAUUAAAUAGAUACUUAUAUACCUAGAAAUCAUUUUUGGAAAAAAUAAAUAGCAAACUAUGAGGCAGCUGCAGUUCAAAUUUGACCCGCUUCCAGGUGAAUCGGUGGAAAUUUGUCUUUUUCGCGAGAGGUGGAUCAAAACUUUUUACACCCAACCAUUUUGUCAAUUGUGCAUUAAAUAUGGUCUAGUAUUUUAUAAAAUUGAUUUGGUCCAAUUUUGAAACAAUUAUUUGGUAGGUCCUUUACAAAAAAACUCAUUUUGGGCACUCGGAAAAUGAUUAAAAAUAGAUAGAAAGAUAAAAAUGCAUGCAAAUUGGUGAUCAUCCAAAAAAUGUGGACUAACUUGAGAGAAAAUUUUAGUUGUGCCGUUUUGCAAAAUAUUUUGAUAGUUGCUUCACAAAAUACCCAUAGUUUUAGUACUUAGAAACUAUUUUAAACCAUAAAUUUUCUGAGCCAAUCAGGGUUCAUCCCACGGAUCACCCCCCUUAGCUGAUCUGAACCGUCUGUUCUAGAUGAUCUGGCCGUCCACCUCUCAGCAGCCCAAUCCAAACCCUAGCAGCCCGCGCCUGCCUUUCUCUUCCCCUCUCCGCCGCCUCUCUCUUUCCCCUUCUCCCCGAUCCAGAUCCAACCCAAGCGCCCCGUCCUCCGCCACCGCCCCGUCCUCCGCCGCCGCCCCGUCCCCUGCCGCAGCCACCUUUGAAUCCCUCCGCCCGCUCGCGCCCUUGCUCCCUCUCCGCCUGCGGGGCCGCGCCCCUCGCGCUGCUCCCCGACGACGCGGGCCUCGACCCGCGGGGCUCGUCCAAGUGGCGGGCGACCGGUGGCGGCGGGCACCAGCGUCGUCGCGAGUGGCGGGCUACCCGCACCUCUUCUGUCUUCCUCCCCUCGGCCUCGAUUCCCCAAUCCACCAAACACCGCCGACCUCCUCUCCCCAGCCAGCCCCACCGACGACUUCCGUGGUCUCCCAUCCCCGGCGGCCUCCGCCCUCGACCCCAUCGCCGGCGGCCCCUAACCUCUCCUCCUCUCCCUGGCGACUGGCGAGGGAGGAUCCAGAUCCACUCGAGCGUGGCUGCGGCGGCCAUGCACUGGCAGAGGAAGCCUCCUCCUCCGACACCACCGCCUCCACCGCAAACACUCGAGCGUGGCUCGCCGCCUGCCGCUACCUCGUCGAGACCGUCAGGAUGGACGUCAACAUGUGGGAUUCCUCCCCAAGUAAGUACUAAAUCCACUUCCUUCUUCGCAUCCCCAAGAUCGAUCGACGCGACGCAGCAUUACAUUACUUGGUCAAUCAACUGUACUAGUAGUAUGUGCCUAAUGGAUCGUGUGUGUGCAUGCUGCUGCCUGGGAUGGGAUGUGACAGGCAAGAAGACGCCCCUGGAGCACGCCGUGGACGGCAACAACCUGCCCGCCCUCAGGUACCUCCUCGACCAUGGCGCCGAUCUCACCCAGGAAGAGGACUACGGUGACACCGUUCUUCAUCACGCUGCAAGAAGAGGUACCACCACUAACGCUUCCUUGCUAGUACCUUCAACACUUGCUGCUUUAUUUCUAGCCAUACACAUUUCUGGUCUGGGUUUCCCCCAUAAUUACCUCUGUCAUGGUAUUUCUAGUCAUGCACUGUCAUGGUAUUGUUACACUCUGCUAUUUUUAUCCUACCAACUGAACCUGUUCUGUUCAUCCAGAAAUACUGUAGCCAUUACCGAGAACAACAAAAAAAAUAUUUGCAAUCAAAGAAAUACUGUAGCCAUUAAAGCUUGUUCAUCCAGAAAUUUUACAUUACAUACAUUGUGCUAUAUAUAGUGGCCGUUCAAACUUGUUAAACAACCUUCUGUUGCUGUUCCUGUAAUCUCUGAUUUGUAGCAUUGUUGGUUUUGCUCUUUUUUUUGUCUUAAAACUUGAUGGGCCAAAGAUCCUUUGUUUGUAUGUUAUCAUCACUAUGAUCUUCAGUUUUCCACACACUAUGAUCUUCAGUUUUCCAUUGCGUGUUUUUUCUGCAGUUUGCUUGGUGUGUGGACAGGGCCAAAGGACAAGAUGCUUCAAUCCGGCGAGGACAGAGCCAAAGGACCAAAGUUUGUUCAUCUGUUGCCAAGGUGACCCCUCUCCUCCUCCUCUCUAUUUUUUGUUCAUUUUCUCAUAUGAUCUGAUGCGUGCUCUCUUGCUUUUUGUGUGUGUAGUUUGGUACCAUCCCGUGGGGAGGGCCAGGGACAAGCUGCUCCGAUCCGGCGAGGAUGCCCACCAUCUAUUGUUAAGGUGAUCUCUCUCUCUCUCUCUCUCUCUCUCUCUCUCUACAUAUAUUUAUACAUAUCCUGUUAUGAUGAUUCUCAGCCCCGCCCCGCCUUUAAGCUAUGCAUUCAGAAGAAACAUUCUAUAGUAAAGUAUGGGGUUGUUGAUUAAACUGCUGAUGUGUUCACUUCAAUGAGAAAAAGUGUAGUUAAUUCAGGUUGUGAACAUUUCUUAGGAGUUAUAUUAAGACACAUACAUCACAACACUUUGUUGAAACCAAUUGGAAGACAAUGGAAUAGCCUAAUAGGUCCUGUUUGAUAGUUUUUUAACAUAUAACAAUACUUAGGGAUAUACCAUAUACGUAACUGUUUUGGUUACUAUUUUGUACUCUAGUUUUUGCUUCUCAGUUUAAGUGAAGCAGAAUUGACUUGUGUAUAAGCUAAACUCUGUUAUUUAUGUUUGCCCUGCAUAAGCUAAAUUCUGUUAGUUCCAUGAUCAACUUGUGUAUGCAGUCCAAGCCUUCUAAAAUGGUUGCCUUUACUGUCCAUUUCUUGAUGUGAUUUGUUCUUAAAACGGUUUGCUAGAUAGAUCCAUGCCUUGUAUGUUCUGUGUUCUUUAUUAUACUGUUCUUGCCUAGGGCAAUUAAACAUUGUAUCUGUUUUUAUUGUGAUAUGCAACUCUUCAAAAAAAGAAACUGUAUUAUGGAAUUACUCAUCUGCAUGGAAUUUCUAUGUAUUCUAGUAGUUUAUUUUUGAUACUGUAUUGUUGUAUUCCCGAUCUGCGUGGGAUCUGAUGCUCGAUUUGUUCCUGUUUCAGUACUAGUACAGUAUGUUUGCUUGCAAAAUUGUACAGUUUGGUUGCAAGCAAGCCAACUGAACUGAAUUUGCUUCCUUGCAAACUGAACUUAGUUUCUUGCAUAUUUCAAAAUGAGAAAUCUUAUUGUCAACUCUUAUGCUGCUAGGUCACUGUUGGAACUGGUUCAUUUGGGUUGUAUUUAAGGUAAACUUCUGACCUUGGGGUUGUAUAAACUGGUCUAUGGUGAAACUGUACAUUCAGUAAAACUUCAUUGAAUUUGAAUUGGAUGUUGAAUGCCAUUUUUUGCAUAGUGUAAACUACAAGCAGUUUGCCAUGAAAUUCUAUUUCUUUUUCACUUUUAAGAAACAAUUACUGACCAGCAGCAGUAAUAUUUAUGCAAAGUUUACUGAAAUUUUGAGCAUCUACAGUUUACUGAAAUUUUGUGUGACUUGUCAAUGAUUAUGCAGCAAAUUAAACUUGUGUUUACUUAGACUUGCUUGUGAUCUUGUUGUGCAAAGUGGUUGAAGUACCUUCUUUUUCUACCCAUCUUCAUAAAGCCUAUAUUAAAUGCAUAAUUUAUACAAAUUAUUCUAUAAGAUUUGUAAAAGCACACAUUUCACUAUGUAAGUAUGUUGUUUUAUUUGCCCUUUCUAGUAUUGAAAUUCAGGACGGGAAAGGUGAAGUUGGAACAUACUAGUGGGUAGUCUUUGCAUUACUGUUGCCAUUGCAUUUGUUUGGUUCUGACCUCAGUAGCAGUACACUAAUGCUGUUAGUCUUUGUGUUCACUCUUUUACAGGAGCGCCAGGACAAAUUUGAAGUGCAAAGCCAUGAAGCCAAGUGCAAAGCCGUGAUGCUAGAGAUUUGUUUGUUCUGUUUGACUGUAAUAGGCUGUAGAGAUUGUAACAUUGUAAAAAAUUUAGGGUUAUUUGAUAAAUUACGUUUCUUCUGUUUUGUUUGAAAUAGUGAUUUUAAAAUGUGUGAAAUGGAAACCUGAUUAGUGGGAUCCACUUACCAAAGUAAUCUGAACAAUGUUGAAAUAUCUGAGCAAUGUUGAAAUAUCUGAUGUGUGGGACCAAUGUAUGAGAUUAUGAUAUGUGGGGAUUGUCUGACUAGUGGGCCCAGCUCCAAUAUAUAUGGCUGAAACUAGAGAAUCGAUGGAUUAAAAAGGCCACGGCCCAACAAUAAAAAAGGAUGCAAUAUUGGGUUUGGCCCAUGAACCCAACCAAAAAUUGACAGAAAAAAACACAAAUAGGCUGAAUUAAUGGGCUCGGCCCAUGUAAAACACCCAAUUGGACCGGGCUGAAUCUUGUGCCACGUUAGAUUGCCACGCUGGAUGCAUACGUGGCCUGGGGAGGUUGCUAGUGACCAAAACGCCACAGUAGACAUAUUUUGGUCAUAAACGUCUACGACCAUUCCAGAAGAAAGGUCGCUAUAGUCAGUUUACGACGGCCAGGUUUUGACCUUAUGUUUUUUGUUACAAAAAUGUCACAAAUGGAAAUUUGUGACCAUUCAGUGACCAAUAGUGGUGGUCACAAGUUGACAUAUUUCUUGUAGUGUCUGAUCAGAUUCCAUACGGUAGAUUAAUUGGAGCCCAAGAAAUGGAAAUUGGAUCUCAAGAAAUUGAUAGGCAUGGCAUUAUGUUUAUAGAUGGAAUCUUUUGGUGAUAAUAUAUAGAUUUGACUCGCAGGAAAGGAAACAAAGCAAUCGUAUAUAUGAUUGCUCUCUAAUAUAAAAUAAAUCCACACGUCGAUAAAUUGUAGCCCAAGAAAGAAUUUUUUGACCACCUUGUAUGCCAGUACUGCUAUAUACGUAUACUACACCAACGCUCAAGAACACCCAUCUCAUUCUCACGGUCUCACCAUCUUCCUCUGGUCUCUCUGCGUGGUGCGUACCCAUCCAUCACCAGCUCGAUCGAUCACGCUAUGACGACCACCGCGUCGCUGCUGUCCGCCGCCGGCGGCAUUGGCCAGCUCUCGCGAUCAGCCUCCCGCGUCGUCGGCAAGACGGCGAGCGGGUUCCACCUUCCCGCCGGCCAGAGCAUCGUCUCCACCCCUUUCUCCAUCGGCAACUACAAGUGGGGCUUCAAGUACUACCCCAACGGCCGCGACACCACCACCAAAUCAGACUACAUCUCCCUCUACCUCCAGCUCUACGACCACAACAGAAAGAAGCGUCAGCUGCAAGCGCAGUACAAGCUGAGCAUCCUCGACCACGCCGGCAACGUCGCGUACGGGCUCCCCGCGAAGACGAGCGUCUUCAAGAGCAGCGGUGACGACGACGACUCCGACGACGACGACGACGAGGAACCCCAGUUAUGCGGUCACGAGCAGUUCAUCCGUCGGGAAGACCUGGAGAGGCGCGAGGACCUGCUCAAGGACGACUGCGUGGUGUUCCGCUGCGACGUCGGCGGCUUCACCGAGCUGGAGACCACAUACCUCGCUCGCGAGGAGAGCGAAAGCGAGCUAGUUCCGGACGAUGAUGUGUUCGGGUUGAAGCCAUCCCGUUACUGCUCCGGUGACUACCGUCACCGCCGUCUUCGUCGCGCUGAUGACAAUGAGUUCGUCCAGUGGUGUUUGGCCCAGAAACGCAUCGGGUGAUGAGACGCCGGCCAUUGAAGCGUGCAAGGAGUGCAGGACGGCCUAGAAUAAAAUCUACUUAUUAAGUUUUAUUUUUAUCGAUGCAUCCAAUGGUUGCCUUGCUAGGAAUAAUUAAGGAGUGGCAUUUUGAUGUCCCUCGAGAAAAUAAAAGGAUGUCAUUUCAAUGAAUAAAUUUGUCUCUCUUUCAAUAUGAUCUCUCUUGGAUUAUGAUUUAACCGUUUGCUGUCCCAGUAUUAAGAUUCCCUAAGAUCAAGCAUAAAAAGCAAAGGAAAAAAGGAAAAAAAAUACCCACACGAAUCUUCACCUAAAAUCAAUAAGAUUGGACUUAGAUAUGCAAUACUUAUGGCAUAUCUAGAUAUGCAAUAACUCAGGGUUUGCUGAUUUGUACCAACCCAGUUUGCUAAUUAGUUAUGUCCGUCCGGUUGGCAUGACAUGUUUACGGUGAAGGUUGGGCGGAAUCUUACUUGAGUUAGGUUAUUAUCCGUUUGUGUGCCGUGCAUUUACGGUCCAAACCAACCAAACACAUUUAAGGGAAUCAUGUUAUGGUGUAAUUGAAUAACGGGAUUGUGCUUUUCUAACUAUGAUGAGGAUGUUGUUGGUCAUUCUGAUUAUUCGCUCGGCUAUGUUUUUUACAUUAUGUCAUCUACGUACAUUCAUUUUUUACUUGUAAAAGCCUUCUAAUGUAAGGUGCAAAAUAUGUAUUUGUCUAGGAAGAAUGGAAUCUGAAAGCCAAGGAUCUGAUGCACCCAUUAUGUUGAAUGUGUCUGUCACAUAGUUACCUGAUUCGCAAUUUGAGUUCACAUAUCGAAUUUGCUACAUUAGAGACUCGGGUUCAAUAGGCGGUAUACAUUUCCGAUUUGCGUAUCGGGGAUCCGGUUCGUGAACUUGCUAUCUUUGGUUCGAAAUAGCUUACCGUUCGCAUUCAAAAAUAGCCAUCGAAGUUCCUAGAUAGAUAUAAUAAAUAAAAAUAGGGAUAAUAUGUUGGUUGGUCCAGCCCAAACGAACCCACUAGGCCACGACCUGCUGCUCCUCCGCUGCUUCCGAUAGCCUCCUCCAAAAUGUAAUCUAGCGCGGCCGCCUCGUGCGCUUUAGCACUUCCUCGUUCUUUCUCCUGCUCAAUUUUUUCCUCAUUUCAACCAUUGAAAAGGCCUUGAUUAGGUUGAUAUUGGUAGGAGGUCUCACUUUCCAACUGUUGACAUGUUGAAACUCAGUGGCUCCAGCGUUGGUAGAAAACUGAAACUUUCUACUAGGCAUUCCAAAAAGAACCAGCCCUAGUAUCUUUUCCCACAUUUCUCAUCUUCUUGCAAGAUGCGGCACUAUCUGCUGCAAGCUUGCAUAUUUGAUUGUUUUUGCAGAGGAUUGUGGAAAGUGCAUUCCACAACACACGUGUAAACUUGCAGUACACAAUAGUCCAUAAUGUACAUUACACAUAGGCGUAAAAUACUGUGGACAUUAGUACAAAAUGAAAUAAACAUAAGUGUAAAAUGCAAUGGAGAAUAUUCAUAGAGAUAUAUCCAACAGAGUUCUAGUUUUGAAGAUUAAUUUGGACCCUUUAUCUGAGAGUUGGUGCUUUUAAAAUAUUCAAAANNNNNNNNNNNNNNNNNNNNNNNNNNNNNNNNNNNNNNNNNNNNNNNNNNNNNNNNNNNNNNNNNNNNNNNNNNNNNNNNNNNNNNNNNNNNNNNNNNNNNNNNNNNNNNNNNNNNNNNNNNNNNNNNNNNNNNNNNNNNNNNNNNNNNNNNNNNNNNNNNNNNNNNNNNNNNNNNNNNNNNNNNNNNNNNNNNNNNNNNNNNNNNNNNNNNNNNNNNNNNNNNNNNNNNNNNNNNNNNNNNNNNNNNNNNNNNNNNNNNNNNNNNNNNNNNNNNNNNNNNNNNNNNNNNNNNNNNNNNNNNNNNNNNNNNNNNNNNNNNNNNNNNNNNNNNNNNNNNNNNNNNNNNNNNNNNNNNNNNNNNNNNNNNNNNNNNNNNNNNNNNNNNNNNNNNNNNNNNNNNNNNNNNNNNNNNNNNNNNNNNNNNNGGAGAGAUUGCAAAAGUUUGAAUCAAUGAAUAAUAAUUAAAAAAAGGACAGCUAUCCUAGCAUAGCAUGUGGAUGGAUGGCCAGAGAGAAGUGUGUGAACCAUAGAAAAUGUUCUACCUCAAGCACGGAAUGGGGUUGGAAGCCGCCCUCUUGCAACGCCAUUGUUGCUCCUCUCACGGCACAUUGCCUGUGGCGUAGAGGGGGAUCGAGAUACGGCGGCCUUCAGCGCCACCAUAGGGUGUAUGAAGGGUAUCAGUGGUUGCCGCUGCUAUUCAAGCGAUGCUGCCACUGUUGGUCCCAUCCCGAGUUAUGAAGUUGACGGGGAGGGGGGAUGGGGGCCUCGAUAGCUAUCAACAAUACAGAAUGGGCGCUAUGGAGAAAAUGUGGUGGGCGGAUCGGUAGAGAAGAUAGGGUGGUGCCCAUUAUGGGUUUGUAUCUGAAUUUAGACAGGUGUAUGAUACACGGAGCCAAACCCAACACAGAUUCGAUAAAUCCAACACCGCACUCUAGUGUUGUAGCACGACAGCAUUUCGCUGAUUUCGACGGUCAUCGCUAUUUGCCAUAGCCCGCUAUUUCAAUUACUGGUAUUUCCGUAAGAUUGCCGCUUAUUGCCAUCCUUGGCCGGCUUUUACCACCACCUUCACCCAAUCACCUCCUUUGGUGGGAAUAGUGGAGUUCUUUCGGGAUGUUACACUUGUAAAAUGAUCGUCGAAUCAAUACCAGUGAAGCUAAUUCUUAACUGAAAUGGUGAAAUGUACCGACCACAUGAUGGAGUAACAACGAAAUUACCACAUCUUUCUCAUCUGAUCUACUCCUAUUAAGUGCAGUAAUUAUUUUAUCAUCACGACGUAACAAGCUACUGGUCGUCUCGAUGAACGAGGAUAAAAACAGGAGGCGGCCGGCGGCACCGGCGAAGCAGAGCGAUCAGGUGGGGGGCAGCGCGUGGCUGCCGCUGCCGCGGGGGCCGCCCAGGAGCGCGGCGAGGAGGACGGCGUCCAUGGCGGCCACGGAGAAGACCGUCGCGGCGAGGACCCCGACGCGCAGCUUCCUCCAGAAGGCCGCGCGGCGCGUGCGGAGAAGGUCGAGCUCGUCGGCGGCGGCCUCGGCGAGCGCCGUCAGGAGGCAUCUCGAGCGCGCGCUCAGGCCCCGGGCACCCCGCAGCUCCGCCAGGACCAGCUCCAUCUCCGUGAGGACGGUGGCGGUGGCGUCGGGGUCGGCGGGACGUGCGACCUGCAAGACGACGAUGAGGAAUUCGAAUCUCAGGAAACAAGUUGCACAAACGAGUCCAACUCAAAUUCAGAUUAAUUAGACUUGAGGACCGACGAACCCCACGAGCCCGAGAGCGCUCGAGAUCAGACGAAUCGGAGCCCAAAAUCGCGGCGCGGACUGAAUUUUCAACCGCCGGCGAAGCGGAAUCGGCCGGGAAGCGGGCGAGGCGCUCGCACCUGCGCGAGGGCGGAGCGGUCGGGGGCGGGGAUCGCGUCGUGGGUUGGGACGGCGACGACGGUGGAGGAGGAGGCGCCGUCGUCGGGGUCGGGGAGGUCGAGCGGCGGCGCGAGGUCGGCGACGGCGAGGCCCUCGGGCAGCGCGGGGUCCGGCUGCUGCUGCGCGGCGGAGGCGGCGGCGUCGUCGUCGUAGGUGAGGAGCUUGCCGGCCUCCUGGAGAGCAGCGGGAAGAGCCUCAAGGAGGUCAUCGAUCAGGCGCGCGGCGCGGGUGAUUGAGGGGAGGCGGUGGUGCAGGAGGUUAGGUUACCUUGGCGAGGUCGCGGGCGGGGGGCGCGGACGAGGAGGAGCCCACGGAGCUGCGGUUGGCGGGGGUGGUGGCGGCGGCGGCCUUGGCGCCGGAGGAGGAGCGGGGGCGCGGGGUGGUGACGGCCUUGGCGCCGCCGUGAGGCUUGGCCAUGCUGAUGGUUGUCUCUCCCAACUGGACUGUUGGGUUCGACCCGGGUCGGGCGCGGGUGUUUAUCGGCCCCACGUGUCAGUCACACUUGCUUGCUUUGGCAUUGGCAAGGAAAUACAUGGCCUCUUUGACUCGUAUGAUUGAAUCAUGUAGGAUUUUUUUUCCUGUAUAAGAUUCAUUGCGGUAUACCCCCUCCAUUCCGAGUUACUUAUCGCAGGUAUGGAUGUAUCUAGAUGUAUUUUAGUUCUAGAUACAUCCAUUUCCCUGACGAGUAUUUCCGAACAGAGGGAAUAGUUCUUGCUCGAAUUCGAAUAAAAUUCAGCUACAUUUCAUUAAAAAAAUUAUCAUCAAAAUUUAAGUUACAAAAGACGUUUUCAUUAGCAUAAAUUUCAAGUUACAUGACUUACAUGUCUGCCAUAUGGACGAUUAUGUCAUUAAAUUUGUAUACAAAAGACUUUCAAUAGUAUAAACUUGGAAGUUACGCGACUUACAUAAUACCAAGAAUUAAGCUUUGAAAUUGUGCUGUUAACCAACAAAAUACUAUGCAUUGUGUAUUAUUUAAGUUAUACCUUUAACUCAAAUACUAUUUGUCUAGCUAAUGAUUGAAGCUAAAUCCCAAAUUUUGUACACAUCUUAUUCACUGGAAUUGUCACAAAGGGGCACGGACACGAGAAGCAACAAUACUAGUAAAAAAAAUUCCCACCAUUUUGCAGAUACUAGCACUAAAGCUAGGUUGAACAAGAUAAAACGAGCCUUCCAAUUCACCAAAACAAGCAGAGCAGAUGAGAUCAUCCUAGCAACAACCUCUGCGUCCCCAAAACAGGUAGCGUUUGUUUUUGUGUUAUGGAGACUGUCAAAUCUGUUGACAUAAAGUAUAUGAUGAUUCUAUUGCGGGCUGGCGGGAAAAAACACGGCUAAUUUCGACUAGUUACUAGCACAACCGGACCGGACGGAAUAAAUAACAGCAAUCAUCUUCAAAUUUUUCUCAAGCUCACUAAAGCUAGGGAGACAAAACAAAUUCUCUCAUUCCACCUAACACUCGCAAGGGCGCCUUCCAUCUUUCCAGGAGAUUGGAUUCAUCAUCACCUCUCCUGACUGGCCGUCACCCUCUGCAUGAUCAUCGCCUCGGCCGCCUGGAUGGCCUCUGAUGUUCCGGUUAUCGUCACUUUCCUG
rnacentral:lncRNA from 1 species